rnacentral:lncRNA from 1 species
AAUAUCAGUGUUUAAAAAACAUCUAAAUAUUAAUGGAAACUAAUAUUUACAUAUUUAAUUAUACUAGACUACUACAAGUAAGGAAAGUGAAACAACAUAAAAAUUGAACACCUCAAGGUCUAACAAAAUAAAGUAACGUAAAUAUAUAUAAACAUGUUUUAAAUAUGCAGGGAACUACAUGCAUUUAAAUAACACACAUCUAGUAUUUAUAAAAAAAAAUUAAUAUUAACAAUGUCAAGCUUCUAUAGUAAACCAUACAUCAUGCUUGCUACUUUGAGAGUUGAAGGUUCUUGCACCUAACAUCAAUCUAACAAAAGUUUUUGCUUCUAUUGGACUUUAUCAGAACUUGUAUCCUCCAACCACUUGUAUCCCUUACAAUCGUUGUAGGAGUUGGCCAAAUCAUUGCAACAAUUUAUUGUUGUGUACAAGAUAGAAAGAAUAACUUUGGACAAAAUUACAGAAGGACAUGUCGCAUUCUUCAUUUUUAUUCAACCAGACGUGGAGAGCAAGUUAUUUACAAAAGGCCAUAUGAAAUGGAUGCAAUGCAAGUAUAUGAUUUUGUUUUUUUGUUGAAAGUGUGAUGAAAAUAAUAGUUGGUUGUGGAUUGGAAAUAUUUAUCUGGCCGUGGAGCGAGAUGAUCGGCUACUUGGACUUGUGCGAUUACCCCUAAAUAGGGCCUCCAGGUGCCGGAUGCAUCCAGGAGCUCCAAUCUGUAUUAUCAUAACAAAGAAAAUAUCAAACCUUGUAAAAUAAAGAAUCAGAAAUAACCAUAUCGAACAAUAUCCACACUUUUGACAAGGGCAUUCCACUAGCCAGAUGGGUAAAAAACAGUCAGACAGCAGUUAAGAAAUGCAUACUAUUUAUCUUUUUUGAUUAUGAAUGCUGCAUGAAGCCCAAGAAAAGACCGUGGACUAUUGGAAUCAUACGAUGGAAACCAUCUCCAAAAGAUUAUGAACCAAAAAUAAAUUCUACAGAAUGGGUAUUCCUCGGGAUGGAAAAAUAGGAAAAGGAUCAGCCAAAUACUAUUAGUCAUCUUUUUGGGCAGGUUUUAAACAUUUCAUAGUUUCCUUUAUUUUUUUGCUUAACUUGGUUGUUCUCAAACUCCGCUUAAAGACCUCAUUUGUAUUGAACAUGUUUCCUAAUUUAUUCUUUUGAAGGAAAUAUCCUAUUCAAUGCAUAUUUCACUCUCUAGCAAAAUAACGUUAGUAUAAACUAUUGAAAAGGUGAUAUUAAUAAAUGUACAAUUUGAAUCCAUGAUCUUACUCUCCAUUCUCCACUCUUCUUUAAGGGGAUUAAUGGUAAAUGCAGAGGAAUAAAUUAAAACCUAGCCACAAUAUUGACAUCAAUCAUUUUUAAUGGUGCCCAUACCAUACUGGCUACUAAAUCACAGAUGCUCAUUGCUAAUAUCCAAUGAUACAGGAAAAGUCUUUGAAGCUGAACUUCCUCACAUUCUGAUAAGUUUUAGUGUCAAAAGUUACUAUCAUGUCAAAAUUAUACUACCACAACUAGGUCUAAAACUGAUCAAAUAAAUGUUUGCACGAAAAAGGGAUACCUUCCAGCGCCUCUUUUGAAUAAGAUGGUUGUUGAUUUCUUCCAAUCUACCAAUUAUUUGCCUAAAUGUUGGUCUUCUGUGUGGUUUUUCAUCCCAGCAUUCCUCAAUUAACCUAUGGACAAAUCAGAUUUCCUGAAUGUAAAAAACUUAUUCCUUUAUUCUCCUACUUUUGGUAGGUUUUGAAACUAAACAUUCAAAUCUGCUGCCAAUAAAAUGUAUUUAAAAUUCUCACUGUUUUAGUCCAUGAGCAUAAAGCUUUGGCAAUGCACUAAAUGGUGGCCGCUCAUUUUCAACAUACGCUUUUGGAACUUCGUUUUCUGGCUUUGCAUAGAACGGUGGACAACCUUCAAUCAUCUACAGGAACAGAAAACCACAGAAGUUCUGGUCAGUAUUUUGCUGGGCAUCUCUACAUAAGAACCCACUGUUCGCAGUCAUUUAUAUUCUAGAUUACAAAUUGCCCAUGAUCCACAAAUAAAAUAACUGUAUUCUGAAGUUUAUCAGUAAAACAGUUGGAGAAAAUGAAUAUUUUGUAUUCACAUAAAAAGUACAAGAACCAAGCAUAUUGGUACAACAGAAAACUAUUAGGCAUGGCAUCUUACCAAGAUGAUCAUGAUAUAAAUGUAUAAUUUUUUUUAUAUUUUUACAAGUCAAUCGUGGAUAGCUCAAAUCUCUAGAACUUAACUUGUCUGUUAGAUCAACCAUAAAACAUGCAAUAAAACAUUGCAUGUCUACAUAAGAACCCACUGUUCGCUGUCAUUUAUAUUCUAGAUUACAAAUUGCCCAUGAUCCACAAAUAAAAUAACUGUAUUCUGAAGUUUAUCAGUAAAACAGUUGGAGAAAAUGAAUAUUUUGUAUUCACAUAAAAAGUACAAGAACCAAGCAUAUUGGUACAACAGCAAACUAUUAGGCAUGGCAUCUUACCAAGAUGAUCAUGAUAUAAAUGUAUAAUUUUUUUUAUAUUUUUACAAGUCAAUCGUGGAUAGCUCAAAUCUCUAGAACUCAACUUGUCUGUUAGAUCAACCAUAAAACAUGCAAUAAAACAUUGCAUGUCACGAUUAUAUACAUAUCUUGAGGUAGAUCUGAGGGCCAAAAUACGCAGAGCUCUCAAGAGUCACGAGUGCUUGAGCUGUCCAUGAACUCAUCCUAUAGUAUACUUGAUAAGUGAAAGAGUAAAAGACAGACACCACCAAAUAUCUAAAAUUGAAUAUGCUGUGACAACACUGAAGGAAUUUGAAUGAUGAAAGCAACAUAGGAGGCACAGCAACAAAUGAUACACCUAUAAAAGCAUUAUUUUCCAGGACUAAAAAGCUCUAAAAUAAGGGGGAGGGGGGGGGGGGGGGGGCUGCAUCCAAAGGUGAGCGAUAAUGAUUUUACCUCCUGUAAUAUCAGAGCAAAAGAAAACACAUCCACUUUUGUGUCGUAUUCCUCAUUUCUAUAGACUUCUGGUGCAACAUAUCGCCCUGUUACAGAGUUGAAUAAAUUCAUCAAUUGAAUCCAUGAAAAUCAGAACCAAUCACAAUAGGAUCAAAACGAAUUGAAUUAUAAAGUAAAGAGAUGGCGAUACGUAUAAAUUAAUUAAUAAAUUCAAAUUAGUAAAACCGAGCCCUAGAUCUUUAUUAGUCACUGAGUAGACGGGCAUUUCUUUUUUCCUUAUAGAAUAAACACAAGUUUACAAUAUUGGUUUUAUGCAGAACAUGAUUAACGAUAGACAUUACAGGACUCCACUGUAGAAGAAAACCUACAUGAUGUAUCGAGGCUUGUCAUAGGUCUGUCUUCUUUGACUGUUUUAGUAACUUUAAGCAACUUGCUAACUCCAAAGUCUGCAACUUUCAGAUGCCCAGAAUCAUCCCGCAAAAUAUUUCUGUUGUCUUACUCAAGUACAAUGAAGAAACUUUAAACAGUUUCAAUUCGAUCAUUCAAGGAAUGAAUGAAAAAUGCAUGCUUCUACUGAAAAAUGCAUGACACUUCAUACACAUGGUGGAAGAAUAAUAAAAUCAACUAGACAGGGUAGGAGAGCAUAAAACAUACGAAGGCUCAAGAUCUCGGUGUAUAAUGGCUUCUGGUUUAUGUUCGUGCAAAUAGUUCAUACCCCUGAAAAUAAAACGUAUUGCACUGAUCACAAAUAUUCAAAUGCAUUUUUUUAAUAUAGGAGAAAUUUUUCAUUUAAUAUUGAACUCUUCAAAAAUAAAAUAACCAGGAAAGCUUGUUUCCUCAAGAACCAACUGAGAGCAGGUGAUGCACGCAUGAUAUGAAAGCUCUUGACUGACCUAGCAAUAUCAAGUGCAAAUUUUACAGCUGUUACUGGUUUUAAUGCACCUUUCCGCUUAAUGUAGGCAUGAAGAUCCCCCUGGAGAGAUGAUAGUUCAUUCCAAAUUGUUAGAUAUUACAUUUAUACAAGAUACAUGGUAUAAUUAGCCACACGUACGUACAUAAGUAUAGGAGAUACCUAAUUAUGUACACAUCUCAUUUUUUUCACUGUUUCACUAACAUGAAGUAGAAUCUCAUAUAAGGAGAAAUGAAAAUCUAAAUCAACAGUUAUCAGUACUAGGUCAAAACAGGUAUCUCUUAUCAUUACAUAAGAUCUUUCAGUGUAGAUACUUUUAACUUUCUAGACCGAACAGGAGCACAUUUGUCAGACUGGAUUCAGUGCCUCUAAAGUGAGAAGAUAAUUAAAGUAAGAAAGUGACUAUCUAUUCAUCAUCAACUUGUAUUACAUUGACUUUCAAUAAACCGUAGAUAAUCCCCAACUUCUACACUUUACACACCUCCUUACUUUAGAGGCCAAAUCAUGUCUGGCCAAUGCAAAUAACCCAUGCACGUCGCAAUUAAUAUCAGUCCCAGGGUAAAUUUUUUAUCAUAUUAAGUUCUUAAGUAUUAUUGAUUAUUUGUGCACUCCUACAUAAUAUUGGAUUUUGAGUAGUCCAAUUGAAACUACAUUGUCACUUUGUUUCGGAAGACUAUCCAUAAUGAUAAAUUUCUGACCACAUUGUAUUCAGCUCACUGAUAUAUAAGAUAACCAUUAGCCAACUAAUCAAUAUAAUUUGUUCAUAAACACCAUGAGCAAAAUAUUUAUGAGAAAAAACCUUCCUUAUGGCCAUUGUAUGACCAAAACUAACCUGGGGUAGAUAUUCUGUGACGAUCAUCAUUGGGGUACUUUGGGUUACAGCACCCAAAAACUGAACUACAUUUGGAUGCCUUAUUUUCUCAAGUAAUGUAAGCUCAUCAUGAAAUGCCUUUCUGAUAAACAGACACCAACAAACAAAAUCCAUGGUGAGAUUAAAAAGUGAUAACUGAAUGAUCCAAUUGACAUGAAUAAGUAGACCAACCCACACUUUAUCAUCAUCGGUGAACACUUCCUCUCCAAGUGUCUUGACUGCAACCUCAGUUCCACGCCAUAAAGCAAUCCGGAAAGUUCCCUAAAAUAUUCAAUAUAAAUGAUGAAACACAAAAUAAGCUAAGGUAUAUUGACUUAAGAAAUUAUGUCAAAAGGCAAAAGGAUAAAUCCAGUUACAAGACACAAUUAAAUGCAGCGAGAAGGAAACUUGAAACCUUACCUUUGUUAUGCAAACACUAUUAGUAAAAUCAAGUUCAGAAGGAUCAAUCUCAUACUCUGGGACUUCUCGAGCAUUCUCCACAUGCAUGGGAGUUAUCUACAAUAAAAAAGAAGUUUGUCAUCGCAAUGUGAUGUCAUAAACCAACUAUUCUAAAAGGAGUUAUCAGUAUAAUAAAACUUACGCUGCCAAGCAAUAAGAAAUCAGUAUAAACCUUUAAUGUAAGUCAACCGAAUCGUAUUUAGGAGUUUAUACACUGUCAGAACAUAUACUGAUUUCUCUUCAAAAAGCUUGGCUGCAAGACCCCUUGGAGCUGAAAUAAAAUAUACUCAGACGAGGAAUGAAUCCUUUAAGACUGGGAUUUCCACUGAUAUUCUCUCCGGCGAAAAUCUCCAUUAUCAAAACCCGAUGUCCACAUUUUCAUUAUUUAAAUUCUCUCACUAUGCUCUUGUCUUUUAAUUAAGGAUUCGGACUUCACUGAACAGUUUAAACUUUUCUAUUGUUAUCCAGUCACCAAGACAGAUAUGCAUGUUAAUUAUGUUUCACUUUUAUAAUAACUAUCUUAAAAGUCUAUCCGAAGAUAAUUUUUCCAGUAAAAAAGUGCGUCUCAACUAAACUCUCCAGACGAAUAACGUAAACUGUUUUAAAUCUAACAACAAGAAGGAAAGGAAAAGAAGAGACAGACCGGAGGUUUUGCACCGUGCUUCUCCAAAAGCCUCACGACGUCGUGGUUUUUGUAGUACAUUGCAUCAGCUAGCGGCUGAAACAAUCCAAUCCAAUCCAAAAAUCAGUGACAGCGAGUGUACAAGACGAAUAACAAAAGAGGAAGGAAGUGAAAUUACGGUGCUGCCCCAGCGGUCUCGCGGAUCAACGUCGGCUCCACGUAGUAGCAGCAGGUCAACAACGUCGGUGCGGCCUUGGCAGGCGGCGACGUGGAGCGCAGUGCGGCCGUCAAUGUCGGUGAAAUUGACGUCGCUCCCCGCGUCCAACAGCUCCUCAAUCCCGACCAAGUCUCCUUCGUUGGCCAGAUACAUCAACCGAACCGUCGGAUCCAGCGCCUCCGACACGUCCUCCGCACCGUCGCGCUCCGGCGCGAGGGAGGAUUGGCGGCCGAGCGAGAAGCGAAGCUGAAGCUUCUUAGUUUCCAUUGGCGAGGGUUUUGGGAGAGAGAGAGAGAGAAAAUGGAAUUGUGUUGUUGUGUGAAUGUGUUCGCAGAUAAACAAUAAGAAUAUGAAUGAAUAUGAAUAUGAAUGAUUCUGCUUAAAUAGUUUUGAAGAGAGGGUUGGGAUUGGAUCGGAUUCUUGACGUCACUGUCUUUUUACACAAUCCAGCUAGUGACAGUGGGGAAGAAACAACGUCGGUUUUUUGUUAUAAUGCUUAAAAAAUAUAUUAUAUAUAUACAACUAAUUAAUAGAUAAUUUUAAGUAAUAAUUAGUCAGAAAUUAAACCUGACGUUUAAUAUUUUAAAAUUUAUAGGAUUGCUAUGAACGGCUAUUUUGGUUCAGUUGACUUUUUAAGGGGAUUUUCUUUAAUAUUUUUUAAGUUGACUUUUUAAAUAAUACUCUAUUUUCAUUCUCAAUGAAAGUUGAGUUUAAGUAGUUGUUUGAUAAAAAGAAAUCGAGAGUUGAUAUUUUAACUAAAGGAUUAGUAUUUUUUAUUUUAAUGAUAUUUUCUUAUUUUUAUAUUUCAGUAUAAAAUAGUUCCAAAAAGUAUAUUAGAUAUUCCUAUAAUGAGUGAAGAUAAUAUAAAUUAUAUAUUAAUAUUAUAAAUUAUUGUUAUACCGAUAGAGAUUAACACUUUGAUUCGGUAUUCGAAUUAUGAAAACCAAAAUCGUUAUACUUAAACUGGAUUAACCAGGUUUAUAUUUAUUAAGGAAUCACUUAGUUUCAAUUUCGUUUUUAAUAAUUACAUAAUUUUUAUUUAAAUAAAAAUGUUUAAUAAAAACAUAUUUUAUGAUAAUAUUGAACCUAAAUGAUAAUUUAAUAUUUAAUAUAUAUUUAUAUAUAUAAUUAAUUGUGUUUUACAUUAAAUAUUCACUAAGUGCCUCACUGGUAACAAAAUUAAUUAUGCCUCUAAUUAUCCUCUUUAUGAGAUUCACACAUCCUCCUCCUCCUUCAUGUGUUACUCUCGAAUUUCCCUUUAAUAAACUGGACAAAAAUAAAUAAAUUUAAAGGUUGAGAUAAAUAUGAAAAGUUGAGAUAUGUAUGAAAAUAGUGAAUAUUAUGGAAGAGAAAUAAAAUUAGUAGUGUAGGAAAAAAAUGAAUUUUAUGAAAAAGAAAAAAAAAUCGAAUAAAAUUCACUAUCACGUUUAUUUUAAAAUAACGAUUUUUAUUUUAAAUUACAAAUAUUUUUAUAUUUCUUUUAAAUUAAAAUAGAUUACAAUGUUUUAUUUAAUAUGUUUAUAGUUUUGUUAAAAUAAAUAAAAUGUAUUUCAUUUUUAAAAAAAUAUUAUUUCAUUUAGUAUAUAUAUAUAUAUACACACACAAGUAUAUAUUUUAAUUUUAUCAUUUUUUAUGUUUAUUUUUAAAUUAUUGUUUAUUAAUUUUAUUUAAGAUUUUAAUUAUUAUGCAGAUAAAAUUUGAUGUUGAAAAUUAUAUUAGAUUUAUUUUACUAAUGUUUUGAAUUAUAUUUUUGAAGAUAUAAUAAAAAUUCAAUCAAUUUUUUUUGUAAUGGUUUUAUUAUCAAAUUAUUAUUAUUAUUAUUAACUAGAUAUUUUGUUUAUAUUCUACGUUUUAAACACUCAACAUCGCACACUGUUAUAAUACAUUCGUUUCAUCUAUUUUUUAUUUAUUUCUAACCACAGUAUUACUUUUGAUCUUAAAAUACUAACUUAAAUAUUAAUGUAAUGUUUUUAAUAAUGUUAUAAUUGUUGAGUUGAUAACUUUGUUAACGUGUUAUGUGAUUAAUGAAAUUAAGUUUUAAUUUUUUUUACAAGAAACAAAUUAAAAAGGAGAAAAUUAAGUAAAAAAAAACUAAAAAGACUAAAGAUUUAAUUAAGUUAAUAAAUUAAAAUUAAUAAAAACAAACCCGUUUUUAUCAAUCGGGUCAAAACAGGAGCCCCGAGAAAUUCCACAACCAUGGAUCUACCUAGCUGAAGGGUUGAGGAAAGAGAAGAAGAUUUUGAGCGCGGAACCACUGCAAUGGCCAUGGCUUCCAACCAUCUCCGAAACUUGACUCGCAUCUCCGUCCACCGCAUUCUCCAUCACCGUUUUCAAUCUCUCCUCAACGCUGCUAGGUUUUUCUCCGAUGCUGCUUCUUCAGUGCCUCAACCGCAACCUAAUCAGCAAUCUUCGCCUCCCUCGUCUUUGAAGGAUUAUGAACUCGCCAAGUUCGCUGCAAUUGCUGAUUCCUGGUGAGCUUUCAAACUGAAAGAGAGAAUCUGUUCAAUGAAUAUAUCGUUACAGACACUACACAGCAUUGAAUUGUACAAUUUUUUUCAAGGGGCGAAUUUGUUUAAUAUAUAUUGAUGUUGCUGCUGCCGUGUGCAUAGUUUUUCUGCGUAUUUGUGUUAGUUUGGGAAUACGGAUGACAUGUAUUUGCUCUAUGUCAAUAGGUGGGAUUCUGAAGGCCCCUUUAAGCCAUUGCAUGUGAUGAAUCCUACAAGACUUGCUUUCAUCCGUUCUGCACUAUGUCGACAUUUUAAGUAAGUCUCCUCUUUCUUUUAGUCCUUGUUAGCUCCAUUUUUUGAGUUUGGAGUGUUUAUUCUUGAAGCUACUUUGGUUAAAUGUGCAAUGAUCUGUACUAUGCUUAUGAUCUAUUGACUUUAUGCAUUAUUCUUAUAGCAUUGCCAUUUGUGCGGCUGUUAUAACUUAUUAAUCCAAUGGUAGCACGCAGCAUUUGCCACACAUACAUAUUAUAAAUUUGGUUUAGUAUUCCUUUAAUUAAAUAUAAUCUCACGAGGACGCGUAAUGAAGUAUUUGUUAGUAAAAAAAGUGACAACUGAAUUGGUUUUUGACACACCAAAGACGAACCAGCAAGAAAAACGAAAGAAGAAAGUUAUUGUUAACGAUAGGUUUAUAUUUUAAUUUUGUCUCUUUGAACUUCUAUUUUAAUGAUAAUUGGGUUUCCCUUGUCUCAGGAAGGACCCUUAUAGUGCUAAACCUCUUGAAGGACUUAAAAUUGCUGAUGUUGGUUGUGGAGGUGGAAUUCUUUCUGAGGUAUAUCUAUUCUCCUAUUUGUUGUGAUUUCUGGAAAAGACCUUUGCCUUUUUUUGUCUCCUGGCCUACGAUAAACCAAUACUGGUUUAAUCAGUUCAGACUUCAGAGAUGACUAUAUUUGUUAACCAGAAACUUGGAAAUCUAAAUUUGGUAACUGUGUUACUUUUAUCCAAAUCCUUGUUGCGGGAGUCUGUAGCAAUAUGAUGGAUUCUGAGGUGACUGACUAUAUUUGUUAGCUAGAAUUUUGGAAAUCUGAAUUCUUUCUUCGGUGCACAUUGUCCCCCCCCCCUCUAAACUUGUAGAGUAUUAAGGUUAAGAUUGUUAUUUGUUUUUCAUUGCAAAUUUUAUGCUGUUUUUAUGGUUGUUUUAUGAUUUAUAACUUUGUUUCUCUUUUGUUCUUCAGCCACUAGCUCGAUUGGGAGCUACUGUGACGGGUGUUGAUGCUGUUGAGAAGAAUAUCAAGAUUGCUCAACUUCAUGCUGUAUGUUUAACUGGCCAAUUGAUAUCUUGCAUUCGGUAUCUCCAACUUUAAAUUUGUCAGUACUUUCCUCCAAGUUGAUUAGGUUAUUGUUCAUUGGUGGAAGCAGCUGAUAACUUUACAUCUUCAGAUUCUUCACUAUUAGCUAGACAACUUAUUAUUUCCUGCAAACAGGGUUUGGAUCCAGUAACUUCAACUAUUGAAUUUUGUUGCACCACGGCCGGUACAUAUGCAAAUCUUGAAGCAUUCCUGUAUACUAUUGUUUUACAUCCAUGAUUUGCAUGCUUCAAGUCCUUUACAUCCAUGGAUUGCAGACCUUUGUUGGAUAUGAUGCAUUAGCAUAAAAACCUUAAAUAUUUGCACUUCCUACUGGCCUUUGUUAUUGGGCUUCGUCAUUUGUUGUUAUUCAUGCAGCUUGCAGAAAGUAACCAUUUUUUGUUAUUUAUUUUAACUUAUCUUUGGCUGUAGAAAAAUCAAUUUUUUGCUUUGGUCUUAUUUCCUCCCAUUAGUAUCUUGUAUUGAAGAAAGUUUUUUAUCUUUCCCUUGACGUUUCUCAUGAAACAAGGCGUCAACCUGAACAUACUAAACCGCUACAGGAACUUAUUACUUCAUCCUCUACAAUAAAGAAUAGUAGUUUUCAGUGGCGGUGUCCAUUCAAUUUCUUUGCUUGCAAUUAGGUAUCAUGCUUGUAAAAAAUUAAAUGUUCUUUGUACGUAGGAGCAUGCAUGAUGCCUCCAGUAAUCUUUGUAAAAGUAGGUUGCAUUCAUCUGGUUCGUUUGUAAUUGUCCUUAUGUUUUUGGGUAUUAUGCACUCAACAAUUUUUAAAUUUAUUGAUCAGAGAAACUAGUUGAAGAAGGAAGAACAUUCGAUGCCGUUAUGGCCUUGGAGGUACUCUCUCAUUCGUGCCCCUUCCUAGCUCUGGCUGUGUGCGUGCAUAAAUGUGUUUUUGAUAUAUAAAGAAACGAUGCGCGUAUCAUAUUGUUGCAUGAAUCUUUGAUAGUAGUAUACAAGUGGCGUUGGUUCAUUUGGUUCGAAUUUGUUCAGGUGAUUGAGCACGUGGCAAAUCCUGCAGAUUUUUGCAGAUCUCUUUCAGCACUAACAGUUCCCAAUGGCGCCACCGUGAUAUCCACCAUUAAUCGUUCUAUGAGAGCCUACGCAACUGCCAUUGUUGCUGCAGAAUACAUUCUCCGCUGGGUAUUUAUCAUUCUCAACUUCCUUCCAUGCUUAUUCCGUCAUACAAAACUCUUUGAUGCUUCAAUUCAAUUGACAUACUAUAUAUAUAUUGAACUCGCGUUUGAAACAGCUUCCGAGAGGCACUCAUCAAUGGUCCAGUUUUCUGACGCCAGAGGAACUCGUCCUCAUCUUGCAACGCGCCGGUAUCAAUGUACGUACACGAAAGGAAUUCAUAAGUCAUAAAUCAUAAACCAUAAACAAUUUCAUUUGCUAGGUUUUAUUCAUCGCAUGCUUCAUAUGUUGCAUUGCACACACAGGUGGAGGAGAUGGCCGGAUUUGUGUACAACCCGGUGACAGGACGGUGGUCUUUAUCAGACGAUAUCAGCGUAAAUUUCAUCGCCUUCGCCACCAAAUCAAACAGCACCGAAUAGCAUAAUAGAUAUAUAGAUAAAAUACGCAUUACUAUUAUCACUGUUAUAUUAUUAUAAUUGAAAUUGUUUUUGAAUGGCCAAUAAUGAUAAUAAUCAGGGAGUGGAGGGGGAGAGUUUCCUGAGAGUGAUGGAGGUGCGUUUAGAUUGAGUCAAGUGUCGACCCUGCCAUAUCUGAAACUCCGGUGAGCGGUUAAUUUCGUGUUUCCAACGGUAGCGUGCUUCUCCGGACAUGAGAAUCAAGGAGCCAGGGGUGAGGAGAACGGGGACGGAGAGGGAGGCGUUGGUGAAGUGCAUGACGCAGUCGGACUCGAGGGAGAGGAUGGCGAUGCCGUCGUCGAAGCGGAGGAGGUCGACGUGGGCGCAGAUGCCUUCGCCGGGCUGGUAGACGUUGGCGAUCAUCUGGUCAAAGAGGGGUUCUCUGUGGAGGAGGUGGGGCGGGAAGGGGGGUGGGUUAUGGGCCUGGCGGCGGAUGGAGCGGCGAAUGGAGUGGGCCAGAGGAGGGGCCCAAGAAGGGAGGUGUUGGAGGCCGAAGCGCAUGGCCUGGUUGACGGAGGGAGAGGGGAACCAGUUCUGGGAUUGGAUGGAUGCGAGUAUGUGGGAUUGGCGGCGUGGAGAGAGGAAAUUGGAACAGAGCCAUAGACCCUUCACUUCUGAGAUUGAGUCCCACUCCCUUUCUCCGUCGCUGUAGCCAUCACUGGAAUCAGAUUCGUCGGAAGAAGACGACCCGAAGACUUGUUCCAACACUGUCUUCUCCUCCUCCUCUUUCAUCUUUCUUUCUUCCAUUUCUCUUCUCUUCUCACUUCCUGCACAUUAAUUCUUCUUCCCUCCUUCCUCUGCAACACUCUCCUCACCUUUUUUUUUCUUCGGCCCAUGCCUUGAAAGUACAAAUUUUUGCUUUGAUGGGCUGACCCAGCCCAGUUUUUUGGUCUGAACCAAAAGAAGGGUAUUUCUUCCUGCACCCCAUACUUUUCUUCCGGCACCCCAUACUUUUCUUCCUGCACCCCACACUGUUGAAUCCUUACAGAAACAAUCACGUAUUAGAACAGUCAUUUGGAUGUUUCUUCCUGCACCUCUACACUUUUCUUCUUGCACCCUUACAUUCUUCAAAAAUACCAAAUUUAGAUUUACAGAUUUAGAUGUUUUCGAAAUAGUGAUUCCGUAAGCAAAAAAUAAUUUCAGAAUAGAAAAUCUGAAAAACAAAAAAUCAUUUCGGAACACAUUUUUAUUUAUUUCCAGAUUUAUAAAUUCGGAAUUCAUAAAAGAUGUUCUGAAAAUAUUUUGGAAAGAACAAUUUGGAAAUCAUUUUUUAAAGGGGCAAACAGUUUUUUCUGAAAGUGAAGGAAGAAAUUUGUAGAGAUGCAGGAAGAAGUUGUCCAGUCAUUUUGAGCUAACUAGUAAACCAUGCUUAUAAAAAAAGAGAAAUCAUUUUAAGUUUUUUCCCUCGAACAUAAGUUCUUUAGGUUAUUUUUAAACUAUCAAAUAAAAUAAUUAUAUUUGAUUGAAUUACAAGUUAUUAACUACUAAAUUUUACUAUUUCGAGUAAAUUAUUAAGAUAUUUCUUAGAGACUUAUUUUCAAAUUAAAGUUAUACUGUUUGAUUUUUUCAUCAUUACAAUGAAUUUUUUAGGUGUAAAUGCAAUAUUUUUAAAUCUUAAAUGAAUACACGUGUAAGAAAACAGGGGUGGUCAUGUUUUUAAAACAAACGAGAUAUUUGUAAAUAAUUUUAAGAAAACUUAGGUAUCACUGUAAUAUUUUUAAAAUAAAAAGUUUCAAUUAAUAUUAAAUAUAAAUGUAAUAUUAUAAAUUACCAGGCAAAGAAAAUAUCCUCAUAAAGAAAUGUAAAAAACAAUAAAAAUAUCUCCCCAACCUUAUUUAUUAAUUAAGAGUUUAAUUCAACACAUUUAAAGUUUUAUUUGCAUUUUCACUUUGAAUAUAGCUUUUUGUACACAACAACUUAUAUACUCACUUUCGUAUCACUGUAUUUUAAUUAAAGUCGUUAUAUUUAAAUUUAACUAAAAUAUACUCAUAUUUUAAAGCGUCACUUCAUUAAUACAACUAACAUUAUGUUUUGGUUUAACGUAUUAAUCUGUUCCACCAUUAUUAAAUUGGUUUAGAUUUUGUUCCAUUUUUAAAAAAAUUCUUAGUUAAGCCAUUCUUUUUCGGACUGUUUCUUCCUGCACCUCCAUAUCUUCUUUUGGCACCUCCAUACACAACAUGAAAAUACAUUUUUAUCCUUCUUGUGCCAUCCCCAUAGAAUAACUUCCGGAUUAUGUAAUCCAGAAACGCAUUUGAAAAAAGACUUCCGGAUUACAUAAUCCGGAAGUUAAAAAAGACUUCCAGAUUAUGUAAUCCGGAAAGUAAUCAUGCAUCUGAAAAUAGACUUCCGGAUUAUAUAAUCCGGAAGCUAAUUACAAAUUUGAAAAAUGACUUCCAGAUUAUGUAAUCCAGAAUAUUACAGAGGGGCAUUUUUGGAAAUACAAAAAUCUAUGGAGGUGAGAGAAGAAGGUAUGGAGGUGCAGGAAGAAGCAGCCUCUUUUUCGUCUUGGACUUAUCAAUGCCCUUCAUGGCCACUAGAAACAGACCGACACCGAUAUGACCAUUGUAACCCGCACAUCGAGAAAUAUAAAGAUAUUUAUUUUGAGGUAUUCUUUAAAAUUACUUGAUAAACUAAUCCAAAUAUAAAUCCAACUCAGUUCAAUUAAUUUAACAGUGAUUUAGACGAAGAUAACAGUCAUAAUUGUUAGUUUUCUUUGUCUAUGGAAAUGGAUCAUAUCAUGGGUAAAUUAUUCAAAACAUUUUAACAAUAAAAAGAAAUAUAGUUGAUUCUCCCUGCAGCAUAUGAAUUCCAAUUUGCAUCCUAACACACUGCCCGUGAAAAGUUUGUUUUACCGUACGUUAAACCAAGUUUUGAAUAUACAAGUUUAAAAUUAAUGUCAUUUUUGGAUUUAACCAUUCAGAAGUUUAUCUGGAUAGUAUAAAUGACCUUUUGGAUAUCAAGAUUCCUAAGUAAAUAUAAAUUAAUUUUGGAUCCUGAUUCUCAGUACCAUUUACAGCACACUAUUUCGGAAUGAAAAUCCAAAACUCAUAACUCACUUCUGGAUAUGGCUAUCUAAAAGCUUAAAUGAAAUACGAAAAUAACCUUUCAGAUAUCUAAAUUCAGAGUAUAUAACAAUUAUUUCUGAAUUUCUGCAUUCGUAAAUAAAUAUAAAGUCAAGGACAAUGUUGAAUUUUAAAUUUUAUAUUGGAUGCAUGAUAUAGUCCAGAGAGAAAUUGCCAAGAAAUAUUAGUAAUAUACUCUUUAACAUGCAUUCUUGACACUUUUUAUCAUCAACUAAAACUUAUUAGAAAACAUGAAAUUUUGUGGGUCUCUGCAGCUUACUUGAUGAGUUUCACAUAUGAUUUGUAGUUCUUAAGACAUUUUAAGCAAUAAAUAGUGGAUUAAAAAAGAGUUUAUUAGAAACUGUUAUGCUAGAAAUCCUCAUAUGUCAAUGAAAAUUAUAGCUAACCCUAAAUUAAGGCAGACCAAAUUCGAUUAGUCGUAGGUACAUAACCACAGCUUCAAAUCAUAGCACUCCAAAUUUCUUGGGCACAUGAUAAAACUUUUUACACAGUUAUUAAAAAAAAAUUAUCUUGUAUUGAAAUAUGUGAGGGUAGGAAACUAGUUUGACUUGUCUGAUCCAUCUGAAUUAACUGUUACAAGACGAUAGCUCUUUUCUGUUUCAACAUGAGAGCCAGAGGAAUCAGUAUACACACUAGGUAUUGACAUGCUAUGUGUUCUACUAGGAUUCUGCCAGAAGUGAUUUCUUAUACUCUUGUAUUUGGAACUGGAACUAAUAGCUGAAUAUCCCGGAUCAGAAAGCAGAUCCUGAAUAUCAGUCCAACCUUCAAGCAUGCUCACAGCUUGGGACAUUGUUGGUCUGAGUGUAGGAGAUGCAUUAGUACACAAGAGAGCCACAUUUAGCACCACCAUGGCCUCAUCACUUGAAUACUCUGAACCCAAAUCUGGGUCAACCAGCUCCAGAAGACUCCCUCUCUCUUGCAAAACAUAGGCCUGAACAAAACUCAAACUUCAGAUCAGGGUUACUCAAAUUUAUGAUAAAUUCAUAGUGAAGCUAUGAUGUGGCUGGAAACACAAACCAGCACAAAAAUGUGGAGUGGUAAAAUGCAGUUUGAUUAUCUAAAAGACUAUAGAUAACAUUUUAGAAAGUUCUCAAUAAAGGAAUGAUUGUAGCUAUGUGUGGGUGAACUAGUCUCUUUUGUUCGUAUGAACUCUUAUAUUACACAGUAAUUGGAUAUAUUAUGCAAUUUGAUUAUCUAAAGCCUAAUAUAACAUUUUGGCAAAGUUAUACGUUUGUGUGUGGGUGUGCAUGUGUCUGUAAAAGGAAAUAGUCUCAAUCUAACGAGAAAUAGUUCUCCAACUUUCUGAUUGUGAGGCUGUGAUUGCUAAGAUACUUUGUAAUUACCCAAUCAAGAAGAUAAACAAAAUCUUCGUUUGGCCUGAAAUUUGUAUUGCUCUUUCCGCUGACAGUUUCCAGUGCAACCACCCCAAAGCUAUAAACAUCUGCUUUGUCAGUUAGAUAGCCACGCAUUGCAUACUCAGGAGCCAUGUAACCACUACAAAAUGACAAGAAGCAUAACAAUGGAAAUUAGGACUACUGUCAUAGAGGAUUUAUAUUAUAAUUCUCUAAAGUGUGAUUCUCAUUUAGGCACACAGAAAAGUUCAGAUAAUGUAUAUAAUAUAUAUAAACUAUUCAAUGGCUUUCAUUGCUUAAUAUAUAAACAAAGUCUGUUUUCUAAUCAGAUUAUAAUAUCAGCACAUGAUAGAGUAUUUAUGUUUUCUUCCUACUUCCAAGCCAAAAAGACUUUUUGCAUUGAAGGGUGUGUUAAGUGAUAUAGAUCCUUCCCAAUACAGACUUUAUUUAUUUGUUUAACCAGACUAUUAUGAAAGUUGCAAUGCUAUAUUUUGACAUGAAAAGCAAGAGAAACAGCAGUAAAUUAUGGACUUACAUUGUUCCUGCUACUCGAGUGCUAAUAUGGGUUUUGUCAUCUUCAAUGAGUUUUGCCAAGCCAAAAUCUGAAACUUUAGCAUUGAAAUCCUUGUCGAGCAAUACAUUACUUGCCUUUAUAUCCCUAUGUAUGAUUUUUAUUCUGGACUCUUCAUGAAGAUAAGCCAAAGCUUUAGCUAUACCAAGACAAAUUUUCUUCCUUGUUGGCCAGUCUAGUUUUAUUCUGCUCUCUGGAUUCCUCCCUGCAUGCAUGCGAUUAGUGGAAGGACAAUCAAUUAGUUUCACAUGUUAACAAAGGAUAUGGAUACAAGGCUUCUACUAGGAAGCUAAUAUUAAUUUUGUCUUUUUUAAUUCUUAGUUGUUUCUUUUUGUAUUUAUGUUUAGUUUAGUCUUUAUUUUGGCUUUUCUUAUUCUAGUCUUUAUUGGUUUUUAUUUUACAUUAUGUUUCUUUAACUAGACCUAGAAUGAGUGUACUGUGUGUAUAUAUAUUCAGACUCUUUGCUUUGAUUUCAGUAAGAAAAAGAAAAUAGAAGAAAUAUUCCUUAUCAUAUCCUUUGCCUUCCUUCUUUCUCCUUUGUUUUAUCUCAGUUCUUUAUUUAUAAUACAUGUCAAAUGUUUGAUUCAAAGGGCAAGUAUGGCUAAACCUUAUUCAUCAUGAAGCUUACCAAAAAGAAUCCGUGAUAGACAAUUAUUUUCCAUAUACUCAUAUAUCAGUAUUAGCUGGUUCCCCUCCACACAACAUCCAUAAAGCUUAACAAGAUUUGAAUGUUGGAGUCCAGAUAUCAAUCCCAUCUCAUUCACAAACUCACGAUUUCCCUGUUUGGAUUUUGAAGACAGCUGCUUUACUGCUAUUAUUGUACCAUCUGAUAGUAGGCCCUGCAUCAUGAAGAAGGUCUUGCAUUACAGUGACAAUUACACAGAUACAAAUAUCAAACUGCUGAUUGGUCUAACAAAUCUCCAUUACACUUUGACCAGCAUGUAUGUGAACAAUUUUUCUUUUACUAACCAACCAAGGUUAUAUGCUUGAUCAUGAGUAUAAAAUCCACCACAGAAAUCAUGAUUGAGUUAUAAGCUUUGGAUUUAAAUUGAAUGGUGAUAUAGAGAGACUGAAGUGUGUCUUGUAUUUCAAAUCAAGUAACAAAUAAAUUAACCAUAAGGUGGAAUAGUUAACCGAGAAUAUAAACUUGAAGAAGACCAGAUACCUUGUAAACACAACCAAAGCCACCUUCGCCAAUUUUGUUUGCUGCAUCGAAGUUUUCGGUUGCUGCUUUGAUUUGUCUUAGUGUAAAUAAUCCUGUCUGCAGGUCUAUACCCCUAAGCUCUGAAAAAAAAAAUAUUAGAAAUUUGGAAUCUAGAAAAUUUGUAACUUUUAACUCGGAAAGGGUGAGUAAAAACGCAAACUCAAACGAGAUAACUCGCAAGUUUGAUAACCAUGUUCUUCACUAUAUCUACUUCCAAAGUUCUUUUUAUUUCUAGCUAGCAUAUAAAUAUAGUGUGUAAUUAUGCUCUCAAAAAGCCUUGACUUUAGUGAAAAAGGAAAAAUAUCAUCAAUAACAAAUCUUGUAUAGGAGUAAAUAAUUGUGCUUCAGUUUUAUGGUAAUUGAAUAAAAUUUGCAGAAAUAUUUAUUUAAUACAAAUUGUUGAAGAAGCUCAGGCAAAUACUGCUGGAUAUAUAGAAAGGAUGUUUAUGUUGGAAAAAAUGGAAAUAUUUAUUCUAAGAGAAUAGGAAGAAUUAUGUGGCAUAUUCCAUACCUUUAUACACUGAAUCUUUGCCUCCUAACCAUCCCAUCCACCUCAUGAAAACCAGCCCCAGCAGUAGAAGAACUAAAACACCAGCCACUAUGCCAAUUGCCAGUAUGACAUAAGUUCUGUUUUCAUCCCUUGAUGGAGGUUUAAAAUCUGUGCAAGAGAAAAGUAUUUGUUUUAGCUUUUUUAGAAAUGAAGAACAAAACUCAUAGAACUAACUGGAUCUGAUAAAAGGAAAGAAUGAUGUAAUUUUCCUUAUAACAGAACUCUAGUGGAGGUCUACAGAUAAAAGGUUAUCUUUUCCAACAGUUUUUAAAUUCAUAAUGCCAUAUUAUGGUUUCAACUUCAGUCUCAUUAAGUCAGAUAAAGCACUAGCACUAAGAUGCAGGGUGUGACUUACUAGGGUUUACUGAAAUAGCAGAUACUAGAGGUCCAUAAACUCCUCUUGUGGGAAUGCCAGUGGUUCCUUUUCCAGCCCAGUAGAAGUGAAUCUUCAAAGUAUGUUGUGUGACAGUAGCAUUGAAUGUCUUCACAAUUGGCUUGCCAGUACCACCAGCUUCUCUUUGGAUAUCAAAGUCUUUCAGCACUAUAUUCCCCUUAAUUUAAGGACAUAAUAGUAUAUUCCAUUUACAUCAAUGCACAACUCUGAAUCAAUAAUUUAACAUCAUGUGAAAAUCAUGCAAGUAAGUAACUGUUACCUGGAUAUAGACAUCAAAUACCCGCUUUCCAAGACUAUUAAGUGACCUAUCAUUGAUGAAAAUAAUCUCUGCAAAGUGAAGCUUGAUUGUGUAAUUUCCAUUUAUUAGGCAGAGGCCAUAGUAUGUGAGAGCGAGGGGAGAAACACGAGCUGUUGUAUAUAGUUGUGAGUUGAGUGCAGAGACAUUAUUAAGUCUAGAAGUAUUGGCCACAAUGUAUGGAUCAGAGUCAAUAUCAUUGUCCAUGAAGUUUCCAGUGCUGCUCAGAGCCCAAUCCUGGCUAUUAUAAUAUAACAUUGCAGCACCUUUUCGUUCACCAUCAGCUUCAUAAAUGUGAUUACUGAUAUUUGCUUCCUUACCACCACAAUUAAUGUUCAAGGCGUAGUGAUCUAUUGAAAAAAAUUGACAAAAAGGGUUGAAAAGAAAGCAUGCUUAAUGCAAAAUCUUUCAAAUUGUAAUGGUCUAGUAGUGGUAAAGAAAGACAGUAGCAUAGAAAGGCAAAAUUUGCCAAGAGCAGAACAUAAUUAGUAUUUAAAAUUUUCAGCUUUUAGUUUAACUACAUGAAUUAUUUAAUAAAAUGCCAUUAGCAUCAUCUAAUGGUUGUAAUAAAAAAGAAUACAGAAUUAUCUUCCAUUUUUAAUUUUCUUGGAAUUAGUCAACCUGUUUUAUUUCAAAUAAUUGGAAGAUGAUUACUCUUAACCCCUGGAGAAAAACAGAUAUAUUGUGAGAAUUUUUCAUCUACUUAUUUCACUUAAUUUCAGGCCACAAAAUUUUACUCACUUUUUAAAUCUGUCCAUAGUAAUUUAAAACUUGUAGUAUGGUGGUUGCAAACUUACAUUGGCUAACAGAAGCAGGGCAUGGAAAGUUCCUUUUUAAGCAUGGAUGAAUCUUACUUCUGUAAGAAAGAGAAAUUUAAGGCUUUAUACUAGGACUACUGCCAAAAACCAAAUUCUACACAAAAAUCCUCAGAAAGGAAAAGGUAAAAAGACUGCAUAUUCCAAGCACAACAGCUUACUGUGUAUUUACAGAUGAAGAGUAGCUUUCAACAAGGUUUCUGAAAAAACAACAAAAAUAAUGUUGCAGUGAUAACUGAUAACUAAUAUUUGCUGAGUACAACUUUAACUCAAAGCUUAAAUAAAAUUUACAUGCUCCCUCGUUGACAUUCAGUUGGACUUGAGCUAUCCCAGGAGAAAUUAUUGUCAGAGAUAUCACUGUGUACCAAGAUAAUAAAAGAUGUUAAUCUCAUUUGCAACAGGAGUAUUUAUUUCGUUUCAGUUUCAUAAUAUAUAUAUUCUUUAUACAGACAUCAAUAGAUUGAAGUUCCUAGAGUGUACAAGCCAUCCAACUAUAUUUUUUUUUUUACAUUUUUUGAAUGAAUUUGUAGAAAGUUUUGUUUCAUGAUGGAACUUAAUAUAAUAAUUGGCUUGUUGUUGUUGUUCUAUUCUAAAUUCUCUAGAACAUAUCAUGAUAACAGAGAGAUAUAUAUUUCUUGGUGCCUUAUUCACUGUGGCCACUGAAGAAAAUUAUAAGAUGAAAGACUGAAAAUUGAAACAUAACAAAUCAAGAAUUUAACUGUACAUGUUUUUGUUAUUUGCUAGGACCCAGCCAGGUAUAGUCCCUGAUAACUUGUUCCCAGUAAGAUACCUGCAUUGUUUAACACAAAUUUUCUUUUGUCAGAAUUAAAAAUGAGAUGUACCAAUAGCAAAUUUCAUUCAAUUCAUCCACUUACAUGAAGUCUACUUUGUCAAGUUCGGAAAAAGAUUCAGGUAUCUCUCCACUCAAGCCAUUGUAACUCAAAUCUCUACAUCAACGAAGAUAAAUAAAUGAAAUUGCUUUAUGUAAUGAAAUGCAUAACAUUUUUUUGUAUAAAAAAAAUCAAUUUAUCUUCAACUCUAAGAUGGUUAUAAAGGUGAGCAUGUUCUGCAUUUUCAUGUGCAUCCAUGCUUUAUGGCUUUCUUUAUAAUCUUCCUUCAGAAUUCACAAAUUUUAUUAUUAUUCAAAACAAAAUGUCAUGGUUUCCAUGCAUACCAACCAUGUCUUGACAUUUUAGUUUACAGUUUUCUUGCAUUACGGGCUUUUGCUUCUCUCUGAAUGAAGUUUAGUGCUAAUUAGUUAUUACCCUAGUCAAGGGCUAUAAACAAAAUACAUCCUUAAUUGACCUACAAAAACUUGUACCUGUAGAAAACUAUAUUUCAAAUCUAGAUAAAGUUAUACAAUAUUAUUGUGAACUCAGUGUCAAUAUUACAUAUAAAGAUGACAAGGACAACAUUGAACCGAUUCUGAGAUAUUCUCAAAUGGAAUAUGACCCUUGAAGUAAUUUAUCAUAUAGUCAAAACUGCUGUAAGUUACAUGUAGAACAACUUACAAGAUUUUCAGCUUUUCCAUUCUCCCAAUAUAUUCUGGGAUUUCUCCUUUAAUCAUGCAUUUUCUCAAUACCCUGCAUUAUGAUGUCCGGGUAAAAUAUAGGUUAUUUUGUAAAACUUUUAAGAGAAAGAAGCAUUGAGUCAUUGAACUUACAGUGUCUUCAUGGAUUUCAAGUUAUUUAGUGGAGGGAAAGCUGAGGUUUUGUCACCUUUUAGGUCAGUUAUCCUCCUAAGUAUCAAAGAAUAAACAAAACAAUCAUUUGACAUAUUCACCUUCUAUUAUCAAAACAUAAAUCAAAUAAAGAGUUACAUGCAUACAAAUCACUUAAUCUUGUCAAGGCAGAAAUACUAGAAGGUAUUGGCCCCUCAAGUGAGCAACCCUGCAUAUGCCUGUAAUCCCAAAAGAAAAAAAUUGGCAUGAUAAAAUAUAGUGUAUACAUGUAAAUACAGCAAGAAAGAAAUAAGGUAGGAGACUUACAGCUUUUCUAUCACUGUCCAGUUACUAAUGAAAUCAGGUAUCUUCCCAAAGAAAUCAUUGUCGCUUAACCUCCUAAAAUUUGUUUCCAAAAGGUUAAUAAUUAUGCAAAGAAAUGUCAAAGUUCAAUUGUAACUACAAUAAAAGAACAUGAUAAAGCUACAAAUUGUUUAGUCUCCUUGUAAGAAUUAUUUCAGAACCCUGCAGUGACUUGCCUUUACCACCCCCAUAUUAAAAAAAAUCAAAGUGGUUCAUCUUUGUGCAUUUUCUACUGUCAGAGAUUGUAACCACGUGCUAGAUGUUAAAAAUUUAUUUAUUCAAUAAUUAAUUUCUUGCAGAUUGUAGAUAACUCAGAUUGAUAAGAACUUACAAAUCAAUCAACUUGGUCAACUUGGAAAGUGAGGGUGGCAAUGCUCCUGUGAAUCCAUUGGAUGAUAGAAUGCUAAACAAACAUGUUUUGAUUUACUCGUGUUAAGACACUACAGAGUAAUAUGUUAGGGGGAAAAUAGAAACAGAUAUUAUUGAGAUUUGAAAUUUCCAAUAAGCACACCAAGAAGAUCAUAAGAAUUACAUUUUUUCUAAAUUGAUCAACUUCUCAAUCUCCGUUGGAAUGUGGCCUGAAAAUAGGUUUCCUUCAAUACUCCUGUAACAUUCAUACAACUAUUUAAAUUAUACAAAGCUGCAGAAAUAAAUUGGAAAUUAUACUAAACUAGCAAUCCUGAAUCACCUAUGCCUAACUUUCUUUAGGUACAAACAAAUAUGUUGGCAAGAGGUAAAAACUAUCUUACAUAUACCAAAUUUAUUUUUCAUUUUCUUUAAAACAAAAUCACUUAGCUGAGUGACUGAGCCAACAAACAAUUCAUUUGAAAAUAAAGAAAUGAUUUCAACAUACAAGUUUCUGAGGGUUGUGAUAUUGGUGAGAACUUUGGGGAAUGGCCCUGAUAAUUUGUUUCCCAUAAAAGAGCUGCAUAUUCAAUUAACAACAAGAACCUUUAGUGUGACUCUCAAGUCUCAAGUUGUUUACUUAAAAAGAAGAAAUUGAAGAGACUAUGCAUAGAAAUCAAAAGGGUGCCUAGCAGAAAGCUCUUACAUCUCAACCAAGCGCAUGGUACUCCACUGUGGAGGUAUAGAACCAGUGAUGAUGUUACGACUGAGGUCCCUAUUUAAAAGUGCAAGACAAAGUUAGUGGACUUCACCAUUCCUUAAGAAUAAUAAAUGAAUGAUAUGGGAACAUCAUGCAGAGAAAAGAGUCUUGGCUUCAAAAAACUGAGGUUUGGUUAUCUUACAAGUGUGUGAGAUACUGAAGCUUGGAAAACAUCGGUGAGAGGCUACCAGACAGAUUCUGACCCUUCAAGAAUCUGUUUAUUUAGAACAUGAAAUUGAAAGCAGAAACUUAGAAUUUAUACGGUGGUUAACAAUUUAUCAUGAUCAUUCUAUGAUAUCCAACCAAUAAAUAAUUACAGUGCAUGAAAGUAUAAACACAUCUUGUGAAUCCUUAAUGUUGUGCUCCAUUUUUUUUGUCUGCUGUGUAUUAAACAAAAACUAUAAACUCACUUACCCUGUUUUGUUGAAAACCAAACACGUUUUGUUAUACAUGAUAAGGAGCCUAAUUUUUUUCAUGCCUCAAAUUUACACCCCUCUCCUUUUUUUUUACUUUUUCUUAUUUCUUGGACUUGUUAAUUUUUUUUCCCUAAAAACAAAUUGUGUUACCUACCAAAAGUAAAGUAUAUUUUUUGUCUUUGACCUGUUUUGUAACACUAGUAGUGAUUAGCACCAUUCAGUAAAGCUUUGAAACAACAAAAUACAUUUUUACUAGACACAGUUUCAUGUAACAAAUAAACAAACAGUUUGAAGCAAAAUCAUGAAAGUAUAUAUAGCCCUGCAGAUGAAAAUUUAGAAUUUACAGUAAAUAUUGACAAGAAAAAAUAAUAAAAAUGUGUUGCUAUACACACAAAAAAUAGAAAAUAAAGACAGAGACAGCACAUCCUUUUCCUUCAGUUUUCAAAGUCAAAGAUUUGAAACUUGCAUGGGGUCGGUUGUGCUGUCUAGACCCUAGUAUUUUCAAACAUAAGUUUUUGUUUAUUAAUGAGUUGGUUAGUUGAACAUGAAAAAAAAAAAAUUAUACAUACUACGUAUAAAAACUUUGUCAUUUACUAUGUCCAAUUCAAGAAUCAUUUCGCUCUUCUCAUGAAGACAAACGCGGUAUUCUGACAAACCACAGCCACAAAUGUGCAUCAUUAAAAUUCACCUCAGAAUAUGCAUACGAAACAUUGGAAACAUUCAUGAUAAAAAGAAAAGUAUAGUAGGAAAACACCCAUCACCCUAUUCUUCCCUUUUGCUUUAAAUUAAAUAAUAACUUCGAAUCCAGCAAAGAAAACAGGAAUUUUUACAAUUUUCUUAAAAAACAUCAUCUGUAACUACACGUGAAGGUUUGGUGGUAACCUUAGGAGCUGUCUGUAGUAAGACCAAAUGUAUUUGAAGCAAUAUGGUCGUGAAAAUUAACAAAUGAAAAGUAGAAGAAAAUUAUCUUCAUCGUCCUGAGUGCACACGUGAUUCCAUGUGGUUAUCUUUUGAAAACUCAAAGAAUCUAUUGGGAUUGGAACAAAAACUUGAUUGAAACGAGAGAGAAAGAGAAAGAGAAAGAGAGAGAGAUUUACAUGCUUACAACAUGGCAAGAAGUACUGUUAUUGAAGGAACAAUCACACAUCACAGAGCUCUCAAAGCCUUUCCUAUCAUCAGAAGCAUUCCAACUCCCUUUUCCACUGCAAGGAUCCACUCCAAAGUCCCAAUCCUUCUUCCCAAUCUUGCUCCCUAUCUCCUUCAGUGCCUUCACUGCACACACAAUUCAACAAAUCACCUUCACCAAUCAGAAAAAAACAAACAAACAACAUUCUAAUGAAUCUCAAGGAGCCACAUAUAUGCUCAUGCUUAUCAAUCUUGUGCUGAUGAAAUGAAACAACCAAUCCAUGGUUUUUUUCAUGUGCAUAGAUCCGAACAAAACAAUUGAGGGAGGCAACACAACUUUUGUCUAUGCCUUACUUGGCAACUCUAUGCUCCAAAAAACAUGGAAAAUUAGUAGUUUGCAAAGCACUGUUCUAAAGUACGAAAGAACUGAUCUGAAACUGAUACAGGGAAAAAAGUGAAUCAACAGCAAUGAGUUUUACCCUCUUGAGUGUUGAGCUUGGGAGUGGCUGCAGAAGCCAAGUGUAGGAAAAUCAAUGAAGUUGAACCAAGCAGAAGCAAAAAGAACAUCCUGGAAUAUCCCAAGUUGGACUCCAUGAAUGUGUUUUCACCCUUUGGAAAGUGAACUCUUAGGUUGUUGAAGGAGGAAGAAAAUGAAAGAUUUUGAGUCAGAGACUAUGAUAUGAGAUGAGGAUAGAGGGUGGAUUGCAUCAAUGGUGAUGCUAUUGUGGGCACUGUACUCUGGUUGGGAGCAUGUGACAAAAAAAAAAUUCUUAAACCAAACCCAAUGAGUAUUUAUACAGUGAUUUGUUAAGUUCUAUUGCGUGUGUAAGAAAAGAUCCAAACUUUACUUCCACUUAUAUUCAAAACAUCUCCUAAUUCUUGGAACUAGUUUGAGUGGAUGAAUCAAACAAUGUAAUGAUUAUGUUAUCAAAAAUUUACAUAGUUAACUAUUUUGAAAUAUGAUUUUCAUAGUGUUUUUUUUUUAUAAAAUUAAUAAGUUUAUUAUUAUAAUGAUGGUGAUUUGUAAUUUGAAGACACUCUCAAAUUAUUUUUCAUUGUUAUUAGUAAAGAUGUUAUUUUUAUGCAAAACAGUGUGAAAAUGUUGUUUUACACUCUACCCUGUUAUGUUACUUUGAGGAUAAACAACCCUAACCAGUUCUUUUACUUUAAGCAUAAACCAAAAAAAAACUUUGAAGAAGAGCAUGGGAAACGUGCUUUUGAAGAUGCAAAAGAAAAAGCAGAAAUUUUGAAUUGGGAAAAUGAAUUCAAACAAUAAUUAUAAUAAUUAUAGGAAGAUUCAAAACACAUUUUUUUUUUCUUACACCCAUCUUAAAAUUUCUAUUUUUAAUAUUUUUUUACAUAAUUUAAUUAUAAAUUUAUUUUUUAUUAUAUUUUAAAAAAAAAUUGUCACAUCAAAUAUUACAUACAACUACAUUAGUUGACAAAGUAUGUUUUUUUAUAGGAAUAUCUUGAUGGAUUGCCCUCCUAAUUUAAAAAGAAAAAAAAAACUUCAAUACUUAAAUUAAGAAUAUUUAAAAUUAAAUAAAGUUUCCCACUAGUAUAACUUUGUAAUUUUAUUCCUCUAAUUUCUUGUAUAGAUAAUUUUGAUAAUUAUAGUUUUAAUGGUUCAAUUUUAGAGCAUAUUUAUAAAAAAAAAUUAACAAUUUUCGUCUCCAUAUUAUUUGAUUCCAGCCUACAUAUUUAAGAAUAUUAUUAACUUAUCAUUCAAUUUCUAAGAAUUUAAUUAUAAAUGAUUAAUGAAUUAUUUUAUUUAAUGUGAUUUUUGUGUUAUUUUACUUUAAUUCAUAAUUGUGUUCAAUAGUUUAUUUAAUAUUGAAUCAUUUAAUAUUUGAUAUUAGUUUGUAAAAAAAUCAAUAAACCAUGUGUAAACAGUGCAAUUUAAAAUAGAUUAACAGAUUAUCUCGUAACACAUAGAGGUAAUAUUAUUAAUAAAAAAAUUGACACUUUUUUUUUAUGUAACUCAAUGUUCAGUGCAUUUUCUAUUUUAAUUUAAUUUUUUCUAAUUUUUAUUUGGACGAUAAGUAUUAAUGCAAUAUUCUAGAUUAUUAUUUGGAUGUGGUCAAAGUCAAUCCUCCAACCUUCUUUCGGCUCCAUGAGUGGAAUAAGGACAUGUUUGGCUUUGUUCAAUUAGAAGGAAAAAUAUUAUUUAAACAUAAUCAUUAUAAAAACUUGCAUAUUUUGGAUUAAUUAAUUUCACCAUAUUUUUUAUAUAAAGAAAGCACUAGAUGUGGAAUUAUAUUUAAUUAAAAUUAAACUAAUAUCUAGUUAUAUAAAACAAUAUUGUCAUAGAGUUAUAUAUUUUUAAUUGAAUUUCUAUAAAAAAAAUAUUAUGUUAAAUAUUUAAAAUAUUUUUAUUUUCGUUUAAGUACUAAUUGUCGACAAUUUAAUCAUCACUUGUAUCAUUAUUUUAAAUUGAAUGAAAGUAUCAAAGAUUUUAAUAUGACGAGCAAAUUACAUUAAUUAUAUUUAAAUAUGAUACUUGAUUAAUAGUUAAUAGCAAGGUAAAAUAUGUAUGAUCAACAUAAUUAAUACACACAAACACAAAUAACAUGUAGCAUUUAUAAAUAAACAAUGUCAUAAAGAAUAAUUAAAGUUUAUAAUCUUUAUGAGAGGCACUAGAAUAAUAUCACAAUGCAUGCAAAUGAAUUAUUGAACAAUUUAUCCUUUUGAUGCAAAGAAAAAUAUAGUUCAUAAUUUUAUUUCAUACAAUUUUUUUUUAUAUUAGUAGAGUCAAGGAAUAAUUAUUUUAAUCAUUAUUAAACUCGUACUUGAUUAUUAUUUUUUAUAUUACCAAUUUUUUUUCUAAAUCUCAGUUAACGACUAUCGUUUACAAUAAUAAUAAUAAUAAUAUAUUAUGUUUGAUUGUUUGGCUGAUUAAAAUAAAAUUAAGAUAGUUUCUAUAAUAUUUUAAGUUUAAAAUGUAUUAUCACUCUUAUACAUACAUAUAUAUAUAUAUAUAUAUAGAUAUAUAUACAGUCAGCAACUACUUUUUGUUCAUAAUUUGAGUAAGAAACACGUUGAAUACGAUGUUAGGUCAAUUUAUCUGUGUAAAAGGGCUUUAAAGUUAAAAAUUAUACUAACAAUAUUGGUAAAACUAACCAAUUAAUUAAAAAAAUGCUAAAUAAAUAAAUAAUUAUUUAAUUAUUCAAAUAUUAAUAACAAAUAAUUACAAUUUUUUUUUACUUUUUAUAAUAUAGAAAUUUAUAUAAAUUAAUUUUUAAGUGUUAUUUGUGUGAAAAAACAACUUUAUCAAAUACAAAUGAAAUAGUUUUAUGAAAAAUUUAUCUACCAUCAGUUUUAUCUCUAAUCUAAAUAAAAUAUUUUACAAACACACAUUUAUCUAGUUCUAUUUUUUGGAUUUUUUUUUUUCUGAAGUGAGUUUGCAAAAUCAUUAUCAUGCAAUUGUCCAAAUCUAUAGGUACAAAAAAUAUGGAGGAUGAGCAGUGUCUUUUUGCAAGUGUCCAACGUGUGAUUCUUGAAGACGUAAUUAUCACUGUCCACGGGAAAAUAAUGAUUCCACGCACGUACAAAAUAAUUAUACUUCAUUACAUUAUUUUUUAUUUAUUUAAGGAUAAGAUUUCAUGGUAUUUAUAUUAUAAUUUAGAAAUAUUUAUUACAAUGAAAGGUUUUUUAAUAAAAUAAAAAGUUUUUAAUAUUAAAAUAGAGAACAUCUCGAUCAAGUAUCUCGGAAUCACGACAUAAUCAUUUGACAUGUGUUUAUUGUGAGUGACAUCAAUUGUGUUGUGUAAAAGUCAAGUGAGUCAAAUCACAAUCGAAUCAUGACACUUAUAAAAAGAGUAACGUCUUAACUAUUAACUAUAUUUUUUUUUAGAUAAGCAUUAGAUCCAACGAUUGUUAUUAUAGUCAAAUUCACACAUUUGAUUCCCAGCGAGAGAAUUGUUGAAGGAAAGAUUGUUGUGGUUGACAUAAAUUGUCCUAAUGAUAAGUGUUCGAUUAUAUAAUUUCUCUAAAUAAUUAAGCAUGAUUAAACAAACUUAUUAUGUCUAAACACGUCCAAAAAUUGUAAUUAUAACUUACUUAGAGUUUUCACAAAGCUCCGUCCGGAUCAUAAAAAUUAGAAUAAAUAAGAAGGUAUCACUAGAUAAAAAUACUUUAUUUUGAUGAUUUUUAUAGUUAUGAAGUUGAAGUUAGUGGUGCUAUUUAAUCAUUUUGGCUAAAACAUUAUUUUGAAUGUAGUUUUUUAAUAAUAUUUCAUAAAUUUAUAAUUAUAUUAACCUAUUUAAAUGGAUAAUAUUUAAAUAUUAAUGUUAUAAAUGUAAAUAAGAAUGCCUAAACAUUUUUGUAAAUAAAAAAUAAAAUAAUAAAGAAAUAAAAGUAAGAAUUUUGUUUGCAUUGGAAAAAGGAGAAAAGGAAGAUAGCGCGUGGGGACAAAGGUGAAGUUGACUGACAGCAUUCCACUUGUAUCUGCUGCCAGCUAAGCUUUGGGAGUGCAGCAUUCCAUUUUGGACUCAAACUUCCUUUUCUCUUCAUUAAUGCCUUUCUACUAUUUCCAUUUUCACAUUUAUAAACAAAAUUAAAAAUAUUUCUAUAUCUUUCUAUGAUACCACUGUAAUUUAUAACCAAUAAAAUCCCCUUUUAUUAGUACACAAUAAAUACUCUUUAAUCUACAAGGAAUGAAAUGUUUCACUUAGUUCAAUCUAUGAAAAUUAUUCAAUCUCUCAAUAUAUAACUAAAUUUAGAAACUAAAAUAAUUAUUGAUAUUUAAAUUAGUUUUUAUUAUUGAUAAAUUAUUUUUAAAUUAGUAUUUAAAUAGUUAGUGUUUCGACCUCAAGUUCGAAAAAUAAUAUCACUAGGGUCAAUCAUCACAUCUGAGAUAUUGUCCGUUUUGGAGGUUGAUGUUCCAUCACGGUUUUAUUCUUAAAAGACGCUUUGACUCGACGGGUUAGAUGAUAAAGGAAUAUAUAAAUGUCAUUGGCCUCGACUCCUAAACGAUGUGAGAUUAUAUUGACGGUACCGGAAGAGCUACCAACUGUAGUAUAUAAAUAAUUAAUAGUUAAUACAUCAAUAACUAAUUAGAUACUAAUUUAGAUACUAAUAAUUUCUAUAGUCUUUAAAAUAACAUCUAAUCUAAUCAAUAUAACAAAUAAUUAUUUUUUCAUUAAAAUUAAUUUUUAUUUAAUAAUGAAUGUUAUUCAACUGAAUUAAAGUAAUCUGUUGACUUGAUAUAAGUUAACGUAUUUAUGAACUUAUAAGUAUUUUCAAGUUGUGCAAUUGAAAGUGCAUUGAAAACAUAUUUCAAAUUAUAUAAUUUAAAAUAUAUAUUCUAAAAUAUAAAAUUUGCAUUAUGAAAAUGUAUAAUCAGAAUAAAAAAUUCAUAAAUAUUAGUUUUAGAAUUCUGUAAUUGAAGAUUUAUCUAGACUUCAUAUUCUGAAAUUAAAAAACCGAAAAAGAUAAUUUUGGUAUUUUUAGAAGUAUGUGUUGCAGAAGGAACACAUGGGUACAGAAUGAAUUUACCAAAAAUAUGUUGGCAGUUUCUUCCUCCUACGUUUUUCUUCCUGCACCCCAUAAUGUAAUGCAAAGACAAAAAUAUCCCUAUUAUUUUUUAAAAAUUCCGAAAUACACAUAAGAUCCACACUACUCUUUCUUCUUCCAGACAAUGCAAUUCGGUAACUUUACAGAAUAGGAAAUUCACAUUUAUUUUUUUGCAUUCCGGAUUGGUGAAUCCAGUAAUCUUCCAGAUUGGUGAAUCCAAUAAUCUUUCGGAUUGGUGAAUCCGGUAAUCUUCCGGAUUGGUGAAUCUGGUAAUCUUCCGGAUCCAUCAAUCCGUAACAAAAAUUAGACUUCCGGAUUCAGCAAUCCAGAAAUCAACAAGUUGCUUUCGAAACACUCCUUUAUUUGAAAAAGAACACGAAUCACUUCCAAAUUGAUGAAUCCGUAGCACACUCCAGGAUUGAUGAAUCCGGUAACCUAAAAAACUUUAGUUUUUAAAAAUAAAAGGUGAAGGUCAUUUUCGGGAUUUACAAAAUUGUGAGGGUGCAGGAAGAAAAACGUAGGGGUGCAGGAAGAAGAAGCCAAAUAUGUUUACAAUGUGUUCUGGACCUAGGUGAUAAGUUAAGGCCCAAUAAACUACUUUUGAACUUUCGUGGCCCAUGUUAUUUUCACCACCCCUUCAUAAGGUACUUCAGAUGUUUUUUAUUUGCAUGAUCAAGUAUCAAACAUUUGUUUACAUAUUGUAUAAAUUUUGUUUUUGUUUUUAUGUUUUAUAACAAGUUAACAACAAGAAGUAAUGUAUGAAUUGAAUUGAAUGAGAGUUGGUUAAUUUAGAAUGAGAGCUGCAUAUAAAAGCAAAUUCCAAGUAUCAGGAACACCAGGGAGACACCAAUGGCUGCAAUCCAAGCUCCUUUUUCCACCAUAACCAUAAAGAGAAGGGUGACCAUCUUUCCUCAUCUCUGACAAUGAAGUAAUAUUCAGCAAAUUCACAUGCUUUGACAUGCCUCCUAACACCUUCUGCAACACUAUCUCAGCUGGGUGUGAACCUCCUGAGUAUUUUAAUCCAGACUCUGGAACCAUUUGCCCCUCACAGAAUCUUGCCUUUGCCUCACCCCAUUUUCCUCCACUGCAUCAAUUCACACAAACUGAAGUGAAUUAUAAGAACACACAUAUAUAUAUAUAGCAAGAACAAACUCAUGUUGUAAUUAAGGAGAAAUUUAGUGAGAAUAACAAAGGUUUUGUGAUGACAUUCAUAGUAGCAUUAAGAAGUAAACUUUAAGCUUAACUCAACAUUUUUAAACCGGUUAUAAAGUGAGGUUUGCAUUCAUCUCGCCGAAGUGGUCAACAAACACGUGCGUGAGACUAUACAUUUAUCAGUGGUUCGAUAGCAAUCCAAUAGCGAAAGUAACAUGAUAAGGUUAACAAACUCUUGUUAAGAUUGGUUAAAAGAUGGCUCUGAUAACUCUCGUUAGGAUUGAUUAAAAAAUGACUCUGAUACCAUAUUUAGAAGUGAACUUUAAAUCUAACUCAAUCUUAUAAAACCGACUUAUAUAAGAUGAGAUUUGUAUCCACUUAUAUACUAUUAAAUGUCUUCAUCUUUAAUCUAUUAAAUUAAAUAUCUCAAUCUUUGAUAUGAAAUUUUCAACACAUUAUUAGUAAUUUACUUUGAAAUGAUUUUGGUAAUUUUUAUAGGAUCAUUUAGUGGAAGUGGGAGGUACAAACUUGAGAUGAUCUGGAGAGACUCCUUGAAAGAAUACCCUUGUUUUGUUAGGGUUAACAUUGUCUUCAACCCAUUUGGCCCAUGUUUUCAAGCCUUUCUCGUAUGCAACCAACCGAUCCAUGUCCUUGUAUGUAUGAUUUCCUUCUCGAAUGAAAUCCCAUCUGCAGAAAGACUAAGAGUGAAGUAUCAAACAUAACAUGAUCACGUGUUGGAGAUCUCACAUCAACUACAGAUAAUAUAAAAUAUUUUUAUCUCUAAUCGAUGUGAAAUCUCUAACACUACGUAUUUACUUGAGCUGGGAAAUUUUACAUACGGUUGUUUUCUUCCAAUGUGAAGCCACCAAUGCCAAGAGUCGAAUAUGAGUAUAUCAUUUCCUUUCCACUUUUUUCCACCUUCAAUUGAAUCUAGUUUGAGGACUCUACCAAUACUUUCACUAACAAUAUCCACCAAAAAUGCAUUUCGGGAAAGCUUCACCUUCACAUCAUAGCUCUGCAUAUAUCAUAUAUGUGUCAUUCAAACAAUGAAUGAUAGGGUAUAUUUAACAGAUAAAUGUCAAAGGUUUUUGAAAGUAAAUUCACUAAAAUAUAACUUUUAAAACCAAAUAUUAUUUUAUCAGUACAUUUAUCUCAAGAGAAAAAUAUUAAUAAUUCUCUUACAAAUACGAAUAAAUCGAAGAACUUAUAUCAGAAAUUAAUAUAUAAUCUUGUCACUGACCUGGUUUUAACUAGUGUUUUAGCUUUUAACAACUGAUAAAAGUCUGGUUAGUACCUUCCUUUUAACUUGUAGAUCAGCUGGUGAAACUGUUUAGCUUAAUUAGUGAUUACUUGAGAAUGCAAUUAUCUUAAGAAAAUGUUCAGAAUACAUAUAAGAAUUUUAUUAUUAUUUAAAAUUUAUUAAAAAUUAGUUUUUUGUGAAUUUUACGAAUUAUUUAGUUAAAAUUUAUUAAUAAUUUUAUACUUUUAAAUAAACUUUAACUUGUAAUGUAUUUACUAUGGAGACGGAUAGCUUAUUAUAGUCAUGUCUAACUUCACAGGAUUUAGUAAGAAACAUUGUUGUGAUAUUAAAAAAUCUGCAUUAUUCUUAGAUUUUUUUUUAAUAAAAUUACUGUUUUUGUCAAGACAAUUGCUAAAAUUGUGAUUAUCUUUUAUACAUAUGAUCAUUAAUUACAAGUCCAGAUUCAUAAUUUACGUUGCAUUGAAGAUGAAUCCAUGACCAAAAACACACACUAAAGGCUUAUCAACAUAAAAAGAUUGGUUUGAAUGAUGAGAAGGUUUAUAAAUUAUACAGAAGAAGAAGAAAGGAAGGAAGAAAAAGUUAAUUAAUGAGAUUCGUCUAAUCGGGAAAGUGAAGGUGGAUAGACCUCCAGGUCUUAAUUACGGUAGAAAAACCAUGUUUAGGGUUUCUCACAUUUUUUGUGAAGAGAAUGCAUGUGCUGAUAAGUUUGAUAACUUAUGCUUUAUUCAUAGAGAGUAAUUAGUAUAAUAAGCUUUCAUCUAGUUUUUUCUUAAAUUUUUUUAUUAAUAGGUAUAAAUUAUCUAUGUGCCAUUUUUGUUAAUAUAUAGAUUUUGAUCUAGUCUCUCAUAUUUUUUUUUUCUUUUAAUAAUAUUUUUUUUUAUAUGAUAGCAGAUUAUUGUUGUUACUUGAAGUGUCAGUCUAACUGAGAUGUCAAGUUUAAUAGUGAUACCAAGGUAAGACUUUUAUAAAAAAGAAGGAAGAAGAAGUUAAUUAAUGAGAGUGGUCUAACCGCGAAAGUGAAGGUGGAUAGAUCCCCAGUUCUUAGUGUGGUGUAGUUGGCACGUGGCACAGCUGUGUGAAGCAUGCAAGUGAGUGAUUGCCAUUGAUUCAAACUCAAGGAGUCCCCCACAAACAAAAUACUCUUCCCUCUCAGUCUUCUCAACAAAUCUUCGCCGUUGAAUCUGUACAUCAUGCAUGCACCAAACUUCAUUCAAGUCCAAGGUGGCUCCAUUUCAAUUUAAUUACAUAAUCAUUAUUCAAAUACUAUUUAUUUAUGUCAACCAAUCUUGCUUCUUUGCUUUCCCUUUAAAACAAAGCAGGUGAAAGCAACAUCACAACCACAUUGCUCUCAAUUUAGCACCAGGAUUCUAACAUCUCACUUGUUCUAUUUUAUUUAUAUUAUUGAAUCCAAUCACAUUGAUAACUUUAAUUUAGCAAAAAAAAUGAGUGUUUUUUUUUGUAAUUAAUAGUAGGAUUGGUUGUUAGUAUAACAAUUAUAGAUAAAGAUACUAUAUAGUAUAUAAGUGGAUGAAAAUCUCAUUUUAUAAAUCAGUUUUAUAAAGUUGACUUAGACUUAAAGUCUGAGUUGGUUUUAUCAAAUCAUUUGUUAUCAGACAACUCAUAAUAUACAAUUCAAUGCAUGAUUUGUCAACCUGGCAUGAGAAGAUGUGUUCAAAUCUCACAUCAACUAAAACAUGAUAUAAUAUAUAAAUGGAUGUAAACAUCAUCUUAUAAAAUUUGAUAAAAUUAAGAUAUAUUUAAAAUUUAGUUCAUAAUAUUUAAUCUUUAGAAAGUAUAUCGCUUUCACUUGCAUGUGUUUUUCUUUUAAUAGGAGUAACGAGUGGAGCCCGAGGAAAUGUGAAAUCUACAUCGGAUGUCAUAUUCAAGUUGAAUAAUAUAGAAGAAAACCAGAACUGCCAUUAAUCUCUUGGAACGUUAAUCAUCUCAGAGUUCUUUAUUAUUGAUUAACAAAAUAAACAUCUAAGUCUGAUUGUAAAAGGAUAUAAACAGUUUCAAAGUAACAGUAACAAACAUGGAAUUGAUCAAAAGUAAAUUGUAACAUCUGAAGUGAUAUAGAGUCACCAACAACUCUGAUAGAAUAAAUUUUAAACCUUAAACUCUAAAUUCUGAUUUCGUAGGAAAAAAAUAACAGUAACAAACAUGGAAUGGAUAAAACUAAAUUGUAACAUGUGGAAUGGAUAAACCUAAACCUUAAACUUUAUUAAACUCUUAGAAUAAACCCUAAACCUUAAACUCUAAACUCUGAUCGUCUAAAUAGUAUAAUAGGAUUAGGAUAUACCUGGGUAAGUUGCAGUUAUUGGGGUGCCAUCUGUACUUGACAUAGUUUUUAUCUGGGCGACCAUUUGUUAUGCAAUCAAACUGGUUGAGAAUGAAGGGACAAUCUGAGGAAUUAUAAAGAGGGUAUGAUUCAUCAGCAAUCCAAUUUCCCUGAGAGAAAUCACAGUCCCUGGUUGCAGUUGCUCUUGGCUCUUUGUGAUGACCACUCUGGGGCAUAUGAAUGAAAAGUAAAAUAAGGAGCAGAAUUAAUAUCCCCAUGAGAGUGUGGGAACUGAAAACAAAACAAAGGUUGUAAUAGUGGAGGUUUGAGGUGUGCGUGAAUUGAGGUAUUAGAGGAAUAGAAGUGAGAGAGAAGAGAGAGUUGAAAUGGAUAGAAAGCAAGAAUCAUAAUCAAAUUUGUACUUCAAGUGGGCCUCAUCUCAUCACCCAAGUGUGCUCUAUCCAAUAUUAUCAGUGGUUAGAAAAUGAGAACAAGGAGGAAACAAUUUAUUAUUAUUAUUAUUAUUAUUAUUAUAUAUAUAUUUGUUUUUUCUUCUUCAAAAUUUUAAGUGUAUUUCCUUAUUGCAAAAACUAAAUAUAUUGAUCCAUAGGACAUUACUCUAGAAACUAAAAAUAAAGGAAUUAAAAAAAUUGAGCCAAAUCAUAAAAUUAAAUGAGUGAGAAAAAAUGAAAUCUAACUUGAAGUUUCACUACUAAAAAAAUCACUAAAUAAAAAUUAUUUUUAGAGACAAAAAUUAUUUGUUUCUAUAUUGACUAAAUUAAAUACUAUUUUAGAGAUAAAAAAAAAUUAUUAGUAUCUAAAUUAGUUUUUAUUAUUGAUAAAUAGUUUUUAAAUUUGUAUCUAAUUAGCUACCUAAGUUUUAACUAUGAAUUAUUUAAAUUCUAAAGUUGGUAUUUAAAACUUUGGUAUCUGAUUAGAUAACAAUUUAGAAAUUAUUUAUCAAUAAUAGAAACUAAUUUAGAUAUCAAUAUUUUUUUUAGUAUCUAAUUUUGUCAAUAUAAUAACUAUAUUUUUUAUUUAAAAUUGAAUUUUUUUUUAGUAUUGUAAUGAAAUAUAUAAAGAAAGUAAUUACAUGAAUAAAAAAUAUUGUGGUAAUUGUAGAUUACACUGAAGACAUCAUGAGAAAAAUUCUUUGCAAAUUUGACAAUAAUGCAGAAGACAAUAUCGUAUUGAAACUGCCUUACAUGUAGUCCACCCACAUUUGUCUCUUGAUUUCCUUACAAUAACUUUUUUUUUAAUUCUUUUAAUGUUUAACAUUGAAUGUAAUUGAAUACAAUAAUAUUUUUACAUUAAACUACAUCAAUUUAAUAAAAAAUUUGACCAUAUUAAAUUUAAAUUGAAGAACAUUAAAAGAACGCAAAUGGACAUAAGCUUUUUAUUUUGAUAUUCAACACUUAAAUGAAAAAUUAAAUGCAAGGUAUAUAUAAAUAUAAGAAAAGUAAAAAAUAAUACUUAAUAUUAAUGUUACAUAAAUGAAUUAUUAAAUUAAUUUAAAUUGAAAAAACCAGAGUAACUAUUUAUUAAUACUUUAUUUAAUUAGAGUAGGGUUGGUAGAAUUGAUAGGUUUGAUCCAUCUUGAUCUGACUUAUCAUUGAUAUGUGUUAAAAAUGGAUGACUGAGUGGGUUCACUAUGAUUACGCAAUAUGAAAGUUUUAACUCGUCUUAAUCCCCUAUUUAUACCACCAAGUUAUCAUAUAUUUAAAAUGAAUGUUUUACUAAUUUAAGAAUCACUUUUAUUCUCUUAUAGUAGUAAGUGAAUUUAUGUCUAACUCAACCUCACAAAGUUUGCUUGUAAGCUGAUGAUUUCACUUCACUUAUUAUAAUUUGAUCUUAUUCUUAGUUAAUAUGAUAUUUUCAACGCAUUCUAUCACAUCAAAGAAUGAAUAUCUAAAGUGUGAAUUAUAUAUUCAUGGGUAAUCUAAAAUGAGCCUAUUAGUGAUGACACAAUAACUUAAAUAAAUUUAACUAAGAUAGAUUUUAAAUGAUUCUGAUAUCAUCUUAGUAAAUGAAUUUAUGUAUAAUUUAACCUCACAAAAUCGACUUCUAAGUUAGUAUAAAAAUCAAACAUUUGUUGGAUUUUAAGAAAGAAUUUUCCAUCUAAGGUAUAGAAUGUUCUUUGUGUAAAUAAAUUCUUUAAGAGGAGACACACAAAAAAAUAUUCUUAGUAAAAGCUUCAUGUUUUUGGAGUAGUAAUUAUCUCUUUAAGAGGUUUAGAAAACAAGUAAUUAUCUCUUUCCUUUAACAUGUGUUUUUUUUUUCUUAAUUAAUAGCAUUAACAAUUGGACCAAAAGGAAAUGUGAAAUCUGCAUCAGAUGUCUGUCAUAUUCAAGUCCAAUAUAGAAGAAAAAUCAAGAACUGCAGUUAAUUUUUUGGAAUGUUAAUGAUCCAAUGUUUUUAAUUUCUGACCAAUAUUAAUAACAGUUAGAAAACAAGAACAAAGAGGAAAGAAUAUGUGAAACUUUCUUUCUGUGAAAAAUAAAAGUAACACUAAAAAAAACAUACAUGAUAUUGUAAAAAAUUUGAUACCAAAAGCACACAAGUUCUUCUCUUUAAUGCUAAAAAAUACAUAAAAAACUAUAAAAAGAUAAAUUUUAAAAAAAGUAUCAAAUAAGUUAAACAUAUUUUGAUAAUUUAAAACAAAUACAAGUAUAAAAAACGCGAAUACACUUUCUUGUCCUCAUACCCAAUUAAAACAACAAUUAUUUUUUAUAGUCAUAAAUUUUUAGUCAAUUAAAAAAUUCUCUUGAAAAAAUAUUUUGUUUUCUAAGUGGAUCUUAAAACAAAACAAAUAACUAGUAUAUAUAUAUAUAUAUAUAUAUAUAUAUAUAUUUUGAGUGAAGUUUGUAAUGUAAAAAAAAUUGAAUUGAAGUUUUGAGAUUAGUCAAAUGACAUUAAUGAUUUUACUUUGUUAUUAUUAUAUAUUCAACUUAUUUUUGUCAACAAAGAAUAUUGUUGAAAAAUUUGCACUAAAGUUGUUACAUGAGGCCUUCCCUAUAUUAUUAUUUUUUUAAAAUAUUUUAAUUAAUUAUUACUUCAUUUAAUUUUUAUUUACUUAUCUUUUACCACAAUCAUACGUUUCUCUUGACUUUUUACUUUUCCAAACACAUGUUCUUUUAAUUUCUUAAGCUUGUUUCUUCAAAUUUUAAAAUAACUAAAAUAAAACACAUUAUUUUUAAUGAAUAAUAAGAAAAUCCAUAAAACAAAUAUAUUAACAUUGUAUACAUAAACGCACAUAUAGUUAAAUGGGUUGGGAGGAUUUAAAUUAUGACUUCAUUUUUUUGUGCAUAUUGAUUUCACAUAUUAAACACUCAUUUUUCUCUCCAAUGUUUUCAUUUGCUAUAGUCGAAAAUUGACUCUUAUAAAUUAUUUUUUUGAAAAUUUAAGUUGAUUUUCCUUAUGAGCUAAAAAUAAUUACAUGAUUAAAUCUACUGACAAGAAAUACAAUAUAAUUUGAAGUUUUAAUAAUAAAGAAAGAAAGUGAAUUAUAUGAAUCAAAAUAGUGUUAAUGUAUUGACUACUUUAAAUAUAUCAUGACAUUUAAGAUAAAUUUUAUUUACCAAUUUGUCAAUACAGUCCAUAUUUAAACUACUUUUAAUUUACUUUUCUUUGUAGCUUUAUUACCAUUGCAGUAACUUUUUAAAAAAUUUAAAAUAUUUUAAUGUUUGUAUUGAAUUCCAUAGAAUAUAAUAAACAUGUUUUCCUUUUACCACAUUAAUUUCAUCAUUAAAAAAAAUUGACAAAAUUAAAUUUUAUAAGAGGUUUAAAAAUCAAACAAAUAGAAAGGUCUAGAUUAAUAUAAAUUUUUAUUUUUACAUUUUUAAAUAUUUAUAAAAGAAAAAAGUAAAUGCAAAAUAAAUACAAGUUAUAUAAAUAUAAAAAAAAUAUAAAAUAUUUGAACUUUGUAUUAAUGAAUAUGUUUAAAUAAAUAGAGGAAAUAGAAUAAUCAUUCAUUCAUCAUUAAUUUAUUGUUGUGAUUAAUUUAUUUUUCUUUCAUUUGUCGGUAUAUUCAAAAUUUAGAUAACAAAAUAAGUUUUUUUUCACAUAAUUCUAAAAUCACAAACGGAAAAUCACAUUAAACUAAUAUCAUUGCUUACAAAAUAAGCUCAACAUUAAAAAAGACUUGUACCUAUUACACACAAAGAAGUUUGUAUGUCAAAAGAUUUACUGAGGCUUUACCAAAAUAAAUCUAUAGAUUACCAUUCUUCUAGACAUUGAAAGACAUUUCAUGAUAACUUUUUUUUAAAUAUAAAUUAAUAAAUUAAUACUUAUGACAAUACUUUAAUUUAAAGAUGAGUACAUAAAAUGAUAUUAAUGGAACUUAGUCAUGUUAUAAUUGUCAUCUAAAAGACAUGAAUAAGGACUAAUGGUAUCUCUUUUCUCACAAUCAUUCUUGAUUUGAUUUCACCAUAGUGAUUCUAAGAGUUCUUGAAAAUAGUAGCAGUCAGAACAACAUCAUCACCUGCAAUAACCUUUCCUCCAACAACUCCCAUAAAGCUUUGAUCUAUGUUUGAACAAAAACAAAUGUUAAAAAAACAGUCAAAAUUAGAUGAUAAUGUAGUACUAGAGUUGUUAUUUAUGCAAGUGCCACUGAGGGAAACUAAAGUAAAGGGUCCAUGAACAAUGAAAGUAGAAAUUUCAUAUUCACUGUCAUCGCGGAGAGUGGCGUUUAGGAUAGAUCCUGAUGCGGUUUGCACUGUGAUGCUAGUUUGGUAAUCACGGGCGAAUUGGGUUAGUGUCUCAAUUACAUCAGAGUUUCUAGGAAUUUGAAUGAGUAUAGGUUUUUCGACAUGCUCACUGCUUCGGUUAAUCACAAAGGUUAAUUUUUGUUUGUUCUUGGAGCCUGCAGGCCUACCGCGUGUUCUCUUUGAUGAUGAUGAUGAUGAUUUUGAAUGAGAGGAAGAAUCAAUAGCAUCAUUGAAGGUGUUGUCAUCAGAGGAAGAAAGUGGGGUGGAUGAUAGGGGAGUCACAUUACUUGGUUGAACCAUUGUUAAAGUAGAAAAGGAGAAUGAAUAUGAAAUCUGAAUGGAAAAAUGAUAUUGAAUUGUAUAUAUAGAGUGAGAAAAACGGAAAGGAUGAGGAAUAAUGUGGGUGUGUUAAUCAAAAGAAUUUUUUUUGUUUGAUAUAUCUUUGUAGAAUGGUUUGUAAUAAUCAAGUUGAGUGGUUAGACAUUUUAUAAGAGAAUCAAGGAAAUGAAUUGUGCCAACAAGGAUCAAGUUACAAUAAAUAAAGUUGUGGGCCUAUUGCAUGUAUAUUUGAGAGUUACGAUUUUUAGUCAAAAAAGGAGUCCACAAUGGUACAAAACAUGUGUGGUUUUCAAAAGUAAAAGAGACUAAAUAUAUAUAAGAUUUGAGAAUUAAGAUAUGAUUUCAUAUGGAUGAAAUAUGUUAAAAGUAAGUUUUAUUGAUAUAGGCGAAAAUGGUGAUGAAAUAAUUGAAUGCAAAUUGUUCCUUUAAUACUUUGGUGUGUACAUAAAUUGAUAUAUUAGAGGAAUGUCAAUGAGACAAAUGAAGGACUCAUGAGGAUGAAAAUGAGAUAACAUUUGAGAAGUUUGAAGGUGAAAAUCUCUCCACAUCCAGAGCAUGCAACCAUUGUUUUCCCAAUGAAAAAAAGUUGUAUUCUCAUAGCCAAAUUUUCCUUUUUGUUUUUGUUUUUACUCCAUAAAUUGAAGUUUGCUUAAAGACAUGAUGUCUUGUUAAGCAAAAAUAAUACAACAACUUAUGUAUUCUACACAACUUCUUGCUUAAUGGCAUAUCUUAGCACCAGACAAAUUCAACUAUUUUUUUUUGCUACUUCAUGUGCCACUCAUUUAGUAGGUGAUACACUCAUUGAACGAGUCUCUUUAGUGGUGACUUUUUUACUAUGACUCCAAGUUUCUAACUCUCUCUAAAAUAAUAUGGAGAAAAGUGAGAAAUAUUAAUUACAUAAGUGUAAAUAAGAGGUAAAAAGGUAUGAUAAUUCAAGUGAACGUUCGCAUUAAGAUUUGAUCUGAUGCACUUUGUAUUGUGAUGCUAAUUUGGUAGUCAAGAACGAAUUAAAUCAAUGUAAGAAUCUGAUUAGAGUUUCUAAGAAAUUAAAUAAAAAUACAUUCGUGGACAUGCUCAAUGUCUUAAUUAAUCACAAGGGGGUAAUUUGUGUUUUUUGAGCUCACAAUGCUAUUUUGUGUUCUCUUUAAUUUUAAUAGUAGCAAUGCUUGGUUAAAGGAACAUCUAGUAGCAUGAUGAAUAUUAUUAUUAGAGGACAAAAAAAAUAUGGUAAGAGAUGGGCAAUUACAAUAAUUGGUUGGAUUUUUGUUAAGCUGAAAGAGAUUUGUGUGAAAUUUGGUAGAAAUGUGAUAUUUAGAUGGAUAUAAAGAUUGAGAGAGACAUAUAGAAAGAAUGAAAAAUAAAGAGAUAAUGUAUGUUAAUACAAAGGAAAUAAUUUCUUUUGAAUUUCUUUUAUAAGAUAUAUAUAUCUUAUAGUAGUUUAGUGAUUUGUAAAAGAGAAAGAAAAUUAAUUUCACCUACAAAUUUGAUCUACAAGGUUCAAGUUACAAGAAAUAAAAUAGUGGGCCAAUUAUAUAUAUAUAUNNNNNNNNNNNNNNNNNNNNNNNNNNNNNNNNNNNNNNNNNNNNNNNNNNNNNNNNNNNNNNNNNNNNNNNNNNNNNNNNNNNNNNNNNNNNNNNNNNNNUAGGGUAGUCUCAUAUUUUAAGAGAAUUGUAAUGAUUGAUGAGUCCAAAAAAAAAAACUCACUUGAAAAUAAAAUUGUUGUUGUGAUUCAUGUCUUGUUUAUCAUGGUAGUUUAGGAUUAAAAGAGGAAUCAAUAAUAAUUUAAAAGUGGAAUCAUGAAAAAAAAAUGAAGAAAAACAAAACUUAUGAGAUUGGAGAAUUGAAAUGUGUGUGAUUUCAGGUUACUUUAAUUGUAUAAUUUAUUGUUAUUAGGGAUGAUAACUAAAUGGAACUAGUGAAAGUUUAUUUUUUUAUGUUCAAAUUUAUAUUUAUUAUGAGUAUGAAAUUUAUAUCUCAACUUUAUUAGAUAAAGGGUAUAUUUAUAUCUAUAUUUGUAUUUGCCUAAUCCAUGUUGCAAAAAUCAAAAUUAAGAACUAAUGAGAAAAAUAUGAUAUUGUCAAAAUUCAAUAUAAAAAACACACAAAUCUUAUUUUCUUCAAUGUUAAAAAAAAAGUAAAAAAUUAUAAUUAUAUAAAUUUUAAGAAAGGGUAUCAAAUAAACUAAAAGUACACUGAUAUAAAAAAAAACAUAUGUACAAGACAUGAAUGAAUAUAAAUUCUCAUCCUUGUACACAAUUUAAAACAAUAGGUAUUGUUUAUACUCGUACAAAUUUGUAGUUAAUUAAAAAAUUCUUAAUCUAAACAUUAAAACAGGUUUAUACAAUACCUAUAUUUAUGAGUUUAUUUUUCAUAUCUAAUGAUUAUUGAAAAAAAUAUUUUGUUUUACUAAGUAAAUAUUGAAACUAGACGUAGUAUAUGUAGUUAUUGUGAAGUCUCUGUAAUGCAAAAAAAAAAAAAAAUUAAUUAGAAUUUUUUUAAGAAUUUAAGUUUUGAGAUUAGUCAAAUGAUAUUAAUGAUUUUACUUUGUUACUAUUAUUUAUUGAACUUAUUACAAACAAUAAAUAUUAUUGAAAAAAAUCCUCUAAAAUUGAUCACAUUAAAUUCAAUUAAAAAUCAUAAAAAAAAGAAGGAUAUGAUAUAAAUAUUUUAUUUUGAAAUUCAAGUACUUUAUAAAUAAAAAAUAAAUAUAAAAAUAAAAGAAUUAUUUAAACUUUACAUUAAUGAAGAACAAAAUAAAUUUGUAAGAAAAAAAUAGAAUAUUUUUUCUCCAUAAUUUAUUUUUAAAAAGUAAUAUAAAUAGGUAUAACUUCUUUCAUUUUCAUUUCUCAACAUGUUAGCCUUGAGAUAAUCAAAUAAUUCUCAUAUUAAUUUUAAAUUCAUAAAUCAACACAUUAAAACCAGCACCAUUGCUCUCAAUAUAUAUAAUUAGAUUCUUAUUUCUUAUGUGGUUUUAUCUUCAAUUUUCAGCUAAUCACUAUGAAAAAAAAAACUUAAUAUGAUUAAAUUAUAAAAGAUAAAAUUUUCUGUCUAGCUAUAAAAUUGUAUAUGAAAUUCAUUAUCUCUUCAUUACAUUACAUUAUAUAGGGCAUGACAUGACUCAUGCAGAAUGCCCUUUGCUUCUUCAUCUAUAUGCAGUAUAUAUGUGCUAUAAAUCAAUAUUUCUCACUCAUACUAUGAUUUUAGGAACCAUGAUUUGUAGAAGUCCAUCCCUGAAAAAUGGAGAAAGAAACAACAGAUCAUCAUCUUCAAAUGUAUAAAGGUAAACCACAUAUCUUUGAACAGGUGCAAAUCCCCACACAUCAUCGCAUACUACUAGUCCUUCGGUAAACAAACAAAAAAUAGUAAGAAAUAAACUUUAAGUCUAAGUCAACCUCAUAAAACCGGCUUAUGAGGUGAGGUUUGCACUCACUUAUAUACUUGUGGAUCUCUAACACCCGCUCAGGCCGAGAGUGACAGUUUAUGCGUGAGACAACAUAUUAUGGGUGGCUCGAUAACAAUCCGAUAGCAGAUGGCCUGAUAAGCCAAACAAACAAUCGCUAGAAUAGGUUCUAAAUGACUUUGAUACCAUAUUAAAAAAUGGACUUUAAGCCUAACUCAACUUAUGAGAUAAGGUUUGCAUCCGCUUAUAUGGAAAUCUGGAUAUUUUCUAAAUAGAUGUUAUAAAUUAUAUAGCUUCUCUGCAUUGAGUUUGAAAAACUUAUGAAUCAUAAUGCCAUGGCAGUUUUUCUGUACUUAAAAUACAAGCAUGAUCUAACUACCAAAAAAAUAUAGAAGUAAUAAUACCUUCAUUAGAGUAUCUGGUUUCAGCAAUAGUGAAUCAACCAUUUUAGCCAAGAACAUUAGGUAGGUAUUCAAUAAAUUUCUCAGUUAUUUGAUUGAAUUUCAAGGUUACAAAUUUUACUCACCACCUUGUGUUAGUAUAAGAGAUCACUUUUCACAAGCCAAAAUCUCCAAAAGAAGAUCUAGUGUGUGGGUUACCUUGGUAUUUUAUUACUACUUCUAAAUUGAGAGAAUAUUAGUAUUGAACUUUGUUAGUAAUGUAGUCACUUACUGACCCAAUAACCAAAACUAGUAAUAAUAUAAUGCAAUAGACCAAAUUAGAAGAGUUUUUAAGUUAUGAGUUAACAUUAAGAAACAUGUGCAUAAGACAGAUAUAACUUACAAAAAUUCAGCUGAUAUUCUGUCCUUGUUCACACCAGCAGGAAGCUGCCACGCCACCUCAUAUGGUCCAUAUAAUAUUUCCCUCCGAUGGUAUGAAGAAAAUGAAGUAUUUGGAGAACCUCCAAUUGUCCAAGAGCUAGCAGAGCGUCUACCUUUGACACACAACCUGUCACAAUUCACAUAUUGACUCUUUUAUCAGAAACAAAACAGCUCAUGUACUUCAAAACAUUUAUAACCAAGAAUGUCCAACAUCAAAAUUUCCAUUUAGUACUUCACUUCCAGAAUUUGUGUUCGAGAUUCCACAUCGAUUAGAGAUUAGGAUAUUCAUAGUUUAUAAGUGGGUACAAACAUCACCUUAUAAGCCGAUUUUACAAAGUUAAGCUUAAAGUCUACUUCUUAAUGUGGUAUGAAAGUCAUUUCGACGCUAUCUUAACGAGAGUUUGUUAGGUUUAUCAGGUCUUUUGUUGGAUAAGUAUCCAACAAUAUUUCAUUAAGCCUUAUCCUUUUCUUCAACAUUCCCUAUUAUUGAUUAGGCAGAACUAAAUGCUUAAUACCAUAAAUUGCACAGAGAGAUGCUUCUUACUUUCUAUCAUCAACCUCCACUCUUAUGUCACUGAUACUGACACCUGGAACUUCCACUGUGAUAACAUAUUUUCUUUCUGAUUCUGCAACAUCCAUCCUUGGAGACCACUCAAUUCCUGCACAAGUAUACUAAGAAUGAUUCUUUAGCAGUUGCAACAAGACAGCAUAAAAGAUUUACACAAAUAAAUUAUACACUUCUGUUUGUUAUAGCUAAUCAUCUAUCAUAACAUCAAACAAAUUUCUGAGUUCAAAGUGCUAACCACCAAUUUCAGAAUAGCAUGUUUUCUUUUCAGAAUGUAACUGAUCUCCUCUAAUCUUUCUGUUUGGCCUAGCAAAUGUAGGUGGUUCAAGUGUACUGAAAUCACAGCCCUGCUCCGGAGUCAUUGAUUGAACCACUGAGUUUUUUAAGAGUGAUUCUGCCAUCACAGGUCUAGCAUAACAUGGUGCUCUUGCAUUAGAAGCACAUUCAGAUGCAGCACCAGCACCCUGAUGAGUUUUAGGAGCAAAAGUUGAGCCACCCUGAAAAAAAUUUGUUUCAAAGAAGCCAGUGAGAAAUGAACACUUUACCAAAAAGAGAAGUAAAUAGAACAUUGUUAAGUAUUUCAAAAUAAUAAGAACACUUUAAGUACCUCCUCAAUUGAACUCUGCCUCAUAAAAUAACCAAGAGAAGAAGAUGCUUGGCGUGCAAAAUACACCUUAUUAUCGCAUCUCCUGGGCACAGAAUUCAGACUGCCACUGCAGUUCUGAUGGUGGGUAGUAAAAUUGAUGAAAAUGAAUUGUUAAAAUAUAUUCAAGAAAAAAAGGAUAGUAGAUACAGAUUAUUGUAUUAGACGCUGUAAACCAAAAGCUACAAAACAAAUAUAGUGGUCUGUUAAAAGAACAUAUAUAGAAGGUGUAGUGUGGCAUAUAGAAAUUCAGAAUUAAGGAAACACUUAAUGUAUCGGGUCUGUACGACACCUGGAAGUUCAGCACUUGGUUAAGAUUGACGGACACAACUAAAUUCAUUAUUUCAAAACAAAAUAUUAAUAAGACUAAUAAGUGAUCAAACAUUAAGUAAUAUACUCUUAAUCAUGAUCCAGAAUCUUAAUCUGGCCUAACAACAAAGGAUCCAUGAUAAUCAUAUAAAUCGGCACAAAUUCCAAAAAUCAGGUACGUCAUCGUUCAGUAUUAAAUAACAUCGAGUGUCGAACACAAAAAUCUCACUUGAGCUGUCUUUUGCAAGUACCUUCUGAACUUGGAGUUCACAAAGACGAGAAUAAAGAAGUGAAAGGAGAGCACAAAAACCAUUUCAAGAAAAAAGAGAAAAAAAUAGACCAACCGAUCGAGAGAGAAAACAAUCAUUCUCUUUGUUCCAACCUAUUCGACAACACUUAAGUUUCAAAAAGGGACAGAGAGGAAGAAAAGACUAAAAAUGAUUUAAUGGUGUUCAACAAAUAAAGAUUCCUAUUAGAUGGCUCUUUUCUGUUUAGGUGAGGAACAUAGUAUGUUUAAAACCCUUCCCAACUUAGCAAUAUCUAUCUCCCUUACAACUCCCAUGUGUCAUAAAAACCUUUAAAUUCCAUUACUAUCUAAGGACGCAACCACAAUAACAAGAAGAGAAAAGAGUGGAAAUGUAAAUUAUUAAAAGUGUUCUUUAAACUUAAUAUUUUAUAAAACCUGUUUAUAAGAUAGAAUCCCCUUAUAUGCUAAUCUAUCUUAUAAAAUCGGUUUAUAUUGUUUAUUUCUAAUUGAAAGAAAAAGCAGAGUAUAUUAUUACCAUUGGCAGAAGAUGGGUAGUUGAAAUAUCAUCCUUGGGAGCAAAGUGGGCUGCAAUCAUGUGAAUUCUGCGUUUCACUAACUCACUCUCCAUUUCUGCCAAUAAAAAGCUUCACAAAUAUUUGAGGUGAACAGAUAAUGCAGGAUGCAUCAGAGGAUCAAGAAUAUAUGCAGAAACAGUCACUGAUGAAUCAAAGAUAUUUUUAAGACAUCAAAAUUGGUGGGACCAUUCAAUCUAAAUAUCUUUCUGAAACUCAAGAUAAUGUCACUCAGAUUUUAUGCCCUCAAGUCCACCACGACCCAAAAUAUCACUUUGUUUCAUAGCUCAGACUGUACCAUUUUAAUUUCUUUGUAUUAUUAUUAAAGUAACACAAUUUUAGUAUAUUUUAAUUUAAAUUUUCUUAAAGUAACACGAUUUUUAAGGAUUAUGUUAAAGUAACACGAUUUUAGUAUAUUUUAAUUUAAAUUAUGUUAAAGUAACACGUUUUUAAUAUAAUUAAAUUUUAAUUAAAAUUACAUUAAAGUAACACGGUCUAUUCAUUUUAGUAAUUUUAAAAAAAAAUUAUCCAUUUCAAUAAUUAAGUGAUAAAAUUACACUAGAUUGAUAAAAAAAAUCUAAUAAUAUGAGUAAUCAGUACAGAGACACAAAAUAGCUUAAGGCUCGUGAAGACAGAAAAACUAUUAAUAAAAUAGAUAUAUAAUUAAGAAAAAAAUUAUGAUUUUUUCCUGAUUUUAGAAAUACUUUAUUAUCCAUAAUUUUAUCCAAUAUAAGAUGACAAUUAAAUAGUUAAAUGGGUUCUUGAAAGAUUAAAUACUUAAACGGGUUCUUAAAAUAUUAGUGAUUUGGCAUAUAGGUUCAUAAUUAAAACAUUUAGAUAAAUGAGUUAUUGAAACAUUUGUAUUUGCAAAUAAGUUUUAAUAUUUGUAUAUAAUUUUUUUAUGGGUAUUUGAUAUUUGGUAUGCAGACAAAAACUUUUGUUUAUAUUUGACAUGGAAGGACUUAUAUGCAAACACAUAAAUAUUUAAAAAGAUCCAUUUAUAUGAAAACUCUAACUAAGAUUGUAAUAGUCAUAACUCCCAUAUUUCUGAAGGUUUUUGUGCCACAAAAAUAGUCUAUAGAAAGAUACAUAAGAUCUAAUCUAAAACUCCAAUUCAUGUUUAAGUAAUAUGAAAGCAGAAAAUUAAGUUAUGGGGCGAUAUUGAGACUUCAUCAAAUUAGUUGAUAAAGUCUACCCCACAGAUUAAGAUUUGAAUUGUGCUUGUUUAGAAGAGUUCUCUGGUUUUCUUAAUAACUAAAAAAUAUUAACAAAUGCCCAAAGAGUUUUUAGUAAAUAUCCUUUAAAAAUGAAAAGGUUUCUGAAUAAAAGUUUCUUGUAAAUGGGCUCUUGAAUAAUCUUCAAUCAGCAUGUUCAUCUUAAUCCACAUGUAGGUACUGUGAACUGCUCUUGCACCAAUGUCCCAGCUCUGCUCCUGCUCAAAAAAAGAAAGAAAAGCCAAUGAAUCAGUAUUCUUUAGCUAGCUUGAUUCUUUGAGGAAGAUAUUCGUGUGGCUACUCAACCUGAUUAUAUUCGUAUCCAAUAGAUAAUGAUUCAUGGAAUUCGGUGGUGAUCCAUUUUUGGUGUUCUUCUGCAUAGAAAAUUGAUCAUGUGACAAUAGGAGAAUGCAAAUCACUGAGUUAUUAAUUCCACCAACUCACUAGGCUACUUUACAAAUGUCUUCGUAUUCCAUAGCUUUAAGUAUUCUGCCAUCAUAGGGUCCUUUCUCGAUCUGCACCUUAGCACAAAAAUUAUCUGUAUCCACCCCUAACAGCUUAGCAAUGGAUCCUCUAUAUGCACCGUUGACAAUUUUUACACGACCCCCAACUUGUGGAAUCACAGUUUCAAGCUCUGCCUGAUCAACUCUGAGCACGUGCUUACUUUCAAGAAUUUCUAUUUCCCCAACAUACUUGUCAAUCACCUUCCGCACAACACCCUUUUGCUUGUAGUAGCCCUUCUCUGCCAAAACUUUGCUCAUGACCUUAACAACAAUUCCCUCAUGCAACCAGUAAUCCUUCCUGUUGAUUUUUUCCUUUUUCUUCUCUUCAUCCCUCAUCAUUUCAUCCAAAGUUGAUUUUCCACCAUCCCUUUCUUUCCUCUUCAAAUUGUUUCCAGGGUUUCGUUCCCCAUAUCUCUCUUCAUCAGCCUCCUCAAACACCACCCUUGAUGCUUCCUUGGUCACAGGUGGUUUAGCAAAUGAAGACCCAAGAGAAAACCCUAUCUUAAUUCCAUCUUCCAUAUUUAGUUCUCUUGGAGGCUCAGAUUGUAAAGGCUGAUCAGCCUCAGGAGUAGGCUGCUGCAUCAUUUGUUCAGCCAUUUCAAUCUGUUUCCUGAUCUCCUUCUCUUGCUUUUCUUCAUCUACCAUAUCUGCCUUGAUUCUCUUAUUCUUCAUCCUCUCCUUGAAAAGGGUUUCUGAAUCUCUGUCUAUGUAUGUAAUGAACCAUCCCUUGGGUGUUUCCUCCACCUUACAUUUGCCAGUUCGACCCAAGUACUUGACAAAUUCAGUGAGUGUUGCCCACUGAGUGGAGUUCAUAUGAACAUGGUGUCUAUCAUUUAUGUAUUCGUUGUAAACUACAGUGGCUGCCACACGGCUGAAUCGGUGGCUGCGCUUCAUGUGCUCCAGAAAAGAGCUCUCAAACUCUUCAGAAUAGCCCUCAACUAUCCGGUGUGGGUUUUGUCCAAAAAUCUGCAUUUGACGCUGGUGCCCUUCACCCAUGCAAUGGCAUUUAAAUCCAUUCUCAUCUCGGCACUGCUUCUGGCACAUCUGGCAAUACCACCGAAGCUUCUGCAAUCCUUUUGCUUUGAUUCGAUUGGCAAUUGCUUUUGGUGUGAGAAACUCAUUUUUCCCCAUCACGAAAUCUGGAUGUAACAUUUUAGAUCAAACAACAUUAUCAGUAGUGCUACCCAGUUUCUCAUUACACAUGAAAUUUUGUUAAAUGGUGGGAGUACCCAAUAAAAACAGCAUUAGAAAACAAGAAGCAAAGUAUUUUGGGGCAAGCACCCACAUCAAAUAAUUAGAUAUAAUGACUAAUGAACAUGUUUUGAAUUUUGAUCAGAAUACAAUAAAGUUCAAGCUCGUCAUAAACCGGCAAGGAUUCCCAAAGGAAACCAUCACAAAACACCACCAAGCUCAAUUGCUUUAAUUCUCAACACUGCUAAUAAUAAAUCAAUGGCUUUCCAAACAAGCUCUGCUCAAACCUCGGUUUUAACAUUUUGGGUCAGUAUCCUAUUCUAGUUUGAUUACAUUCCGAUUAAGCCAAACACACUACGCCUUCCAAUCAAAGCAUUACCGACGAAAAAUUUAAUUCAUCCCAUACACAUACAACGAGUAUAAGAGAAAACGGACCUGAGAGUGGCAACAAUUCCGGCGGUGGCGUGAGCGGUGGUUUGCGGUGGAGACGGCAGCUACAAUUGCCGGAAACCCAAGAUUUGGGAAAUUGAGGGUCGCGAAUAGGGGGAAUAGGGAGAAGCAGAGAAGAGAAAGGGAUUGGAAAAUUUAUACCUCUAUAUGUAUAUAAAGUUAUUUUCUAUUAUAACUGUUUUGUGUAUAUAAUUUUCUUUUUAUUUUAUUACUUUAUUUUAGAUAUUUCAAUAUUUUUUAUUUUCUAAAUAUUUAAUAAAUAAUUAAUUAAAAAAAAUUAUUUUUAAUGUUAAUAUAUUUUUAUUUUAUAAAAAAUAGGUAUUAAUUUUUAAUUUUAAAUGUGAAGUAGUUUGUUAAAUUUGAAAAGAAAAAGUUUAUUAAAUGUGUAAUAGUUAAAAAAUUCAAGAGUUAGUAAUAUUUUAAUGUUAGAUUUUUAAAAGAAAGUUUAUAAAUAUAUAUUACAAAUUCAUUUUUAAAAAAAUUCUAAUUUUUUUUAUAAAUUAUUUUCUUUCUAUAUUUUCUCUAAAAAGUAAGAUUUUGAUUGACAAAUCUUUUUCAUCUUUAAAAUAAAUGCUAGUGAUAUUAAAAUCAUACUUUUAAAACUUUUCAUCUUUAAAAAUGUGAAAAUUAUUUGUUAAUCAAUAUAAAUAUAUAUAUAUAUAAGAUAUUUUAAAAUUCACAUUUCAGAUGUUCUAUUUUUUAUAAUAUAACCACUGGUGACUAUAUAUGAAGAUCAUAUAUAUUUUAGUGUACAAAAGUUGCAUUUCAAUUUUAUAAAACUAUCAUUAUCGAGUCUUUUAUUUAUAUCUUAUUUUCUUUUAGUCUUUGUUCUUUGUCUUAUAUAUUGUUUUUAAAUGAACACAAAACAUAUUUUAGCCAUAAAAAUAAUAACAUCGUUAGAAUAAUUUUUAUAAAAGGGUACAAAACUAAAACAACUCACAAAAGUAAAUUUAAUUUAGAUUUAAUUACUUAAAAGAGAAGAUCAAAUUACGUGUUAUCUUUGUAUUUAAUUUGAAAAAAGAAAAGAAAAAACAAACUAACCAUUGGUUUAAAAACUAUCAUUUGUAUUCCUAGAAAGACUAUCAUUUCCAACGGAUAAAAGCAUAAAGAUGUGUUUAGUAAAGUAAAAAGAAAGAAAAACUAGAUAAAAAUAAAGAUUGGUUGAUUAAAAUAUAUAUAUAUAUAUAUAUAUAUAUAUAUUAGAAAAUGGAAACAAAUUAUUUUUAUAGAAAACAAAAAUAUUAAGAAAUCUUGUUUUCAAAAAUAUAUUAUUUAUUUUUUUCAUUAGUCAUAAUACAUUAGAAAUGAACACUGGAAUGGUAGACAAAAAUAAAGAAGUGAAGGACAAAUGGGUUUGGCUUGCAUUGAUAUUGAGGCUAAUUCUCUCUGCAAGAUCAAUUGUGAUCGGUACCAAAUGUCUAUUUUAUCCUUAAUCUUCAAGAUACAUAUAAAGAAAAUGUCUAUUAACAUUUUACCAAUAUAACAGUUUUAGAUAUUCAAAUUCAAAACUGAAAUAUGUCUUUGGGAUUUAAAAAAAAAUGAUAAUGCAGAUAGCAAUUCAUCUGGUGUAGGGAGAAUUAGCCUGAUAUUGAACCCAUAAUCAGCCUUCUGUUUCUGUUUAAGAUCAUUCAAACACUCAUCAAAUAUGUUCUGCAUCUAACCAUUUUUUUCAGUUUAAAUAAGAGCAGAAAAAUAAAUAAAAAAUUGAUGCAGAAGCAUUACCAAUGUCAUAUCAUGUAAUAAUAUAACCCAAAUGGCAGAAGGGGGUUCCUGUCCUACGUGAUCCGGCAUUGUUUUCCCCUGAAAAUCUACACGGGGACUUGUAUGGUCCAAUGCUUAGAUUUUAGUAGAAUAAUGUUUUCCUCAAAACAUAAACUGUUUCUAAGAUUACACAUCCUCAUCAAGACAAACAAAAAAUCCCUAACAAGAGAGUGAUUCAAGGUUGUACAAGCAACAAUCAGUUCCUAAGUUUAAGCUGCAUAUUGAAUUGCGCGCAACAUGUCCAGAGUCCAUAUCUUGGUUCAGAUUAGCAGUGAGAAACCUGCCAUAAUUAUUUCAAGUUAUAUAUUCAGUCCAACUUUACAUAACCACAUAAGUCACAAGAAAAAUAAUAUACUACCAAGAUGCUGAAUGAAUAAUCCAAUGUCUCAAUCAAGUGCAAUAAAUAUAACUUUCCAACAAUGCCAAAGGUUAAAAGAUUUCAGUGAGAAAGGCUAUACAGGAGAUGAUGGAGAAAAGCAAUAUAAAUCCGUUGAUGAGAAUCUUGCGAAAUUAUACCAUGUCAAGUUUAAUAUGGACAGCGAAAGAUGAAGAUCAAGUUGUUGAAUUAGACAGGGUUGGGACACAAACAGAGAGAGCACUGACACAAUAACCACAAAAAAACAGCAGAAUACCAAAGAUAAUUCAUCACCAAAUAUUUUUAACUAUGGACUACUAACACGUAAAAUGCUGUGUACAACUGACAUGUGAGAUUAUGUGCCAAAUAUGGAAUCCGUAUAAACAUUACGAACAUAUCAAUCAUAUCAGAUUACUGAACAUAUUAUGCAUAGUACUCCAAUAUUCUAUACAGAAACAUGGCACCACCAUGUAUAUUAUAAAAAUACAAGGGCUACACUGGUUAUUUAAACACGAAUCCUGUUGCUUAGUUCUUUCAUUUUCCUCCCUAUUUAUCAUAUAGAGAUGAAAAAUAAAUCAAUAAAAUAACUUCACUCCUGUUUUACUGAGAUAAAUCAGUAUCAUAUAGCUGGCGUGUGUUGACUCACAAUUUAGUGGCAAAUAGUCAAGCUCGACACCUGGGCUUGACCCAAAAGGCACAUUUUGUUUUAAUUAUUGUUCAAAAAAAUUAUAUUUACUAAUCGAGUACUUUGUUAUCCUACUCAGUCAUCCUUCAUAUCACUGUGUUAAGAAAUGUGAGAUUUUGUUGUUUUAUAUUAAUCACAAUAUCAUUUUAUCUUAAUCACAAAAUCUCAUAAUUCUUAACAAGUGAAAACAACUUAGUAAGAUGACAUUGUAGAUAACAACAAAGUUACUUAGUUAACACAAAAAGUAAAUAUACAAAAAAAAUAAUGAAACUCAAUUAAAAAUACCCAAAUUUAUAAAGAAUUUGAAAUUUAAUUAAGCAUUUAAAAAUUAGACGAUAUGAUCAAAUUAAAUUAAAUUUGGUUGAAUUUGUUUAGUUUGGGUAAUUUAAAUUUUAAACAAACUAGCAUUUUGAUUUAUCUAGGCUUUAAUUUUUCACAUCAUCUGAUUUGCCAACACUAUGGCCUCAGCUAUUUAUAGUUGUAUCAUCUCCUCAACAAUAAAAAUGGGUAUAAUUUUGAAAGAAGUGUUUUAUUCUUAAAAUGCACCAUAUGCAUAAAAUAGUAAGAACCUGUUCCUUUUUCAUGAAUCAGACACUUCCUACCUUACCCGUUAAUGAUACCACCGCAGAUAAGUAGCAUAGAUAAAAGAAAAGAAUUCCAUGAUGCAAAGAACAAUUAAAAUGUACCAAAGCACAAUUUGGAUAAAAACAACAAAAUUUGUGAAGAUACUUUAAUCUAGCAUUCUGGUUUUCUUUAUAAGUAUUCAAAUGACAAGAUUACACAUUGUUGAAACUCAUCAGCAUAUCUAAAGGAUUGUUUGUUUUCUCUUGUAGUUUUAUUUAAAAAGGUAUUUAGAAUGAUCUAAAUAAAGUGUCUAUAAACUACUAUCCUUCAUUCUCUGUUUUUAAACAAUAUAGAUAUAGACUUCUAGUGUAUAUGAUGUGUAGAUUUUUUACUUAUUUCAAAAUAACAGCUAAAUUCACUGAUAAAAAAGAAUUUAACAUAUUAAGUUGUAUCUUUAUUCAAAUCCCUACAAAACCCCAUAUGAAACUAAAUUACAAAAUACAUAGAGCCAACCUAAACAAAAUAAUCCACAAUUCCCCUAACCUGAAAGCACUUAAAUAAAUAGCUGCUUUUCUGAUUUAGGUAAGCCUACUAUUCCUUGCCAACUAAAUCACCAACUUGAAAAGCCAAUGGAAGAGAUCCUCCUAUCCCACCUAGCAACUUUUACCUUUCACAUGAAUCCCAUCAGAUCCACUCAACACUGACAAGAACUCCAAAAAAAAACCUAGCAUGUACUUAUGAACAUGAUGAAACUGAAAAAGUUGGUAUAGUAGUCAGGAAUUAGACUGUUAUAACUGCAAGCACAAGAAUGCUCGCAUCUUCACAGACCUGUGCCAUGCAUUUCAGAUACGACCCUUCUUAAAUCAAAACAUCAUGCUUUCUCCCCAACACAAACCAAAUAAAGCAUGCAUAAAUUCACUACCCUAAACUCAAAAAAGUUGGCUGGAUUUUCUCCAGCGGAAAUAGGAACCCAAGGCACAGUCGCAUCCCUCAUAAUGCAAGAAAUUGAGUACUUCAGCAGGAUUGAUUCAAAUUCACAAAGGAGCAAGUCUCAAAUCACAGAGGUGGGUUCCUCCAAUAGUAGUACAAGUUCUAAGAACGACAAUUGUAUCUAUGGUAGAAGAAAGUACAAAGAAAAGGUGAGUGAGUAGCAGUGCAGGCUUUUACCAAGUGUGUGCUCUAUGGUUGAUGUAUCAGACAAUGGUAGGCCAAAUGGGACCUCAGCUUUCAGUUACAGGAAUCUGAAGUCGGACACGAAAAAGUUACAGGUCUAGAUUAUGCUCUCGGAAAGUUUUGAAAAACCAAGCUUCUUAAGACGACUUGCUAAAGUUGUAGCCCAAGCCUUUUCUACAUUCCCUCAUUUUAUGUCCACAACUUCAACAAUGUUAGGUAUCUUUUUAUCAUUUUUCUCCCUCACUGGAGUUCUACCCACUGAACAAUUAUCAGAACCUAGCAUGGGUAUUGACUGAGUAAUUUGCUUGGUUAGAGUGGGCAAAUAGCAGUUAGUAAUUUGUAGUGAAGUUACCCUUCUUCACAUAAUUCGAUGACUUCCAGACAUUAAAUAACAACAAAAUACUAACAAAGUCAGCUUCGAAUCUAUCUGGCCACCAAUAACACAUACAAUUUACAUACACCUUCUUCUAUUAAAAUAGUGUAUCCAAAAGGUAAAUUCAAAAAUCGUUUAUGGUAGACAACAUGCUGUUCUUUACUCUGCAACUCAUUGGUCACAACACAAAAAUAUCGAUAGACAAUUCAAUUGAAUUCAAAAACUUCAUAACAUGUUGAUGUUAAAUUUUGCUUCACUUCCAAAAGCAAAUUUGAGUUGGGAUUACGAAUAGCUCAAAAUUCCUUUACCAAAAAAAGUAAUAUGAUCCGCUAAUUACAACAGUACCAAGGAUCACGACUGCAACCCCGUUUUAAAACCUUGAUGUAGAAAAUUUUAAACUAGAUCUUACAUCAAACUUACUAUGGGAGUAAACUCGACCAAACAUAAAUCAAUUCACGGUAAAUUUCACAAACAGACGCACUCAGUCUUACAAAAAUCUAAAAGACAGGAAUGAGAAAGACAUCAGAUACAACCUACCAAUCCAUUCUCCCAUUACUGUUGUUGUUGAUUUUGAGGGUUUGGGGGAGGAGGCAUGCCAGGUCGAGGAGGACCAAACACCGGAACACCGCUGCCAGGUGGUGGCGGCAUGCCGGGGCGAGGAGGAGGAGGCGCAGGCAUCCCGGGGCGAGGCGGAGCAGGAGGUCCUCUCACCAUCUGUCCUGGAGGGGGAGGUCCCAUGGGGCGCUGUCCAAACUGCGGGGGUGGAACGGAGAACUGAGGCGGAGCGCCACCAGGUCUAGGAGGAGCAAAUUGCCCGGGUGGCAUAGGAGGAGGGGGUCCCCUACCCAUGGGGGGAGGAGCGAAUUGGCCUGGCAUCUGCCCCGGAGGGCGCAUCACCGGCGGACCUCCAGGAUACGACACCGGCGGCGCAUUGAGCUGCGGUGGGCGCGAGAUCUGCGGCUGCAUCAUGCCCGGUGCAGGGCCACCAACGCCGCGAACUGGGCCGGCGAGACCAGGCUGGGCCUGGAUAACGGGGGCAGGAGGAAUGCCUCUUCCGGCAGCACGACCGAUUCCGGGGCCAGCGAGCGCGGCGGCACUGACGGCCUUGGAGCGGGACUCUUCCGGCGGAGGCGGGCCCUCAACGGUCAUAGAAAUGACUUCCUCCCCGCGGAGGAGGACAAGACCGAGCGUGCGGCGGUCCUCACGGUCGCCGCCGUCUGCGGGCUUCUUGCCCUUAGCCGGAGGAAGCUUGCGGAACUCCUCGCAGUCACCGAGAACGAGGUUCAUGUGGCGGUCGAACGCCAUGAACUUUCCGACAAGCUGGCGUCCGUCCUGAAUGGUGACGCGCAUUCGGUAGUUGAUGUACUGGAGCAUUUUGGAACUCUUAGACAUCGACAUUUUGGAAGAACACAAAUUUUGCUCGCAGUUUCUUCACUGAGAGUGUUCUAGGGUUUAACAAGAAUUGGGACUUCACAGAGAGGGAAACGUUCUAAAACACUACCAAUAUCCCUUUUCUUUAACACUACCAAACUCAAUCAAAUGGAUCCAGGCCCAAGCCCAGAACCCAAAAGCCUUUUUUUUUAAAAAAAAUAUCGCGUAACGUAGUUUGGGAAAUUGAAUAUUAUAAUUCACAGACCAAAACAUAUUAUUGUAAAUUUAAUGUAACCAAAAAUAUCUAUUAGACUUUAAUCUUACCUGUGAUAAAGAAAAAAAAUCUAGAUUCAAAAUAGUUUGAGAAAAAUAAGAAAAAGUUUAUCAGAAAAUUACUUAAAGAAAUUAUGAGACUUCAAAAAUAAAUAACUAAAUAUUGAAAAUUAAAAUUUGUAUACUUAACAUAAACUAUAAUUUUAACUGUUGUUUUAAAACAAAAAACAUAUCUAUUAAACUAAAAUUAGGUUUUGCAAAUUUAUAUUUGUAGCACCGGAUAUUAUGAUGGAUGACGAAAAUAUUUUAAAAAAAUAUAGAAGUUGUUAUUAUAAUCUAUUAUAAAAAAAUAUAAAAAAUAAUAAUUUACUAUAUUAAAUUUGGGAUUUGUAAGGAAGGUGUUAACAUAAAAAAAAUAAAAUUUACAAAAGGAAAGAUUUUAAUUAUCAAAUGAAUACGAGGUUUAACAUGAUAAUUCUCAAAAUUUGGAAAAUAAAAACUUAAUUAACAAUGGUGACUAUAAUUAAUAAUUUUAAAAAUUGUAUACACAAAAUUUUUAAUUAUAAAGUGAAUCUGACUCGACAUAAUAAUUAAUAAUUAAUAUUUUUUUAAUUUACUUUUCACAAAUAAUUCAUAAUAAAGCUUAAAGUUGAAGUAACAAUUUCUAAGAAAAAACAAGAAUGAAUUACUUGAAAUUCAAGCAUACAUUUUGUAUAACAAAGAGAAAAAUGGGCCUUUAUUUUUCUAAGAAGAAGGACCCAUGUCCCUUUUAACCAAGACAAAUGGAUUCCUCCUUAUUAGACAACAACAACUAAUUUCCAAGAAUUAAGAAAUUUUUAGCACAUUUGUUUCCAAAAUAUAUCAUGCAUAUAAUAAAUUUCAUAGACAAAUUCUCCUUCCACCUACAUGUCUUUCAUGCACCUUAAUAUUAUUCGUUAAAAGUGAGUUUUAAUUUUUUUUUAAAUUUUAAAUAAUUUUAAAUGAAGUAUAAUCUCACUCGUUUACCUCAGUUACAACUGUGCAUCUCAUACUUCUUUUCUAGCCGCAUAUACUUCUAUUGUUACCAGUCACAAUGUUUGAGAAGAUAGUUUCAUUAUUUGAACAUGUGUGAAAGAGUUAACGAGAAAAUUUGUUGUGUUUAACAUUAUUCAUUGUGAAAAUAGUUUGUUUUUUAAUUUUGUACUCCAUUUUUGUGCCUUGUUAAUUAUUUUUUCUGAGUUUUAUAACUUCAAAAAAAAUAAAGAAAACAUAAUCAUCACUAGUAAAAAUAUUACAAAACUUACCACAAUCACCAACCAACGUUCACCACAAACAACUACAUCACAUCCUUUAUUCAAUAUUAAAAAUAAUAUGCAUGAACAAUUUGCCUAAUAAAUAAAUAGCAUGCAGUUAAAUUGGAUGGAGAAAAAGUUAUUAUCAUCUAUUUAAUGUUAUUUUUUAUUAAUUAAGCAAUUUUUUUUAAUGACCGUGUUGGCAGUAUAGUUUUUUAUUUUAAAUUCAUAUUAAUUGAAAUUCAUCUUGACCUAAUCACCACCCCACUCACAUUAUUUUAUCAAGAAAAUGACGAUGAUUAAUUUUAAAAAGUUAAGAAGAAAUAAAAAAAAAAAAAAUUUAAAGAAAUAACAAGAUUUAAGAAUUGAAUUAUGUUACAUGUUAAAUACAACUCACAUGAGAAUACAUUACAAACUCUAUAAAUAAAUAUGUUACGAGAGAAUACAUUACAAACUCUAUAAAUAAAUAUGUUGUACAGUAAUAAGAUAUGUUUUUAUCAAUAUAUUAAUUAUACUCGAAUACUUAAUCCAUACUUAAUCCUUAAUUGUUGGAUAAUCUUUUAUAAAAAUAGUUCUAACUGAUAAUUCAAGAUCAUACAUGAAAAAAAAAAAAACAUGAACACUAUAUAUAAAAAAAAAAGGAAAACACCAACUAAGAGAAAAAUCAACUCUCUAUAGAUACUAUUUAAACAUUAUACAAGUAAAAAAUAAAAUAAUUAAAUAGUUAAAAUUGUAAUUUACAUUACUUAACAUAAAAUAUGAUUUUAAAAACCAUAUAUACCAAACUAAAAUAAGGUCUCACAAUUUAUAGUUUUUUAAUUUAAGAUCUCACCAUGUCAUAUUACCAACAUGUGUUUAGUAUGAUUUCUUUUACUCGACACAACAUGUGUUUUAUAUUUGACAUAUUUCUCAAUAUAAUCAUAUUUUCUUUGGGUAGGAAAUUUAUAAUUUUCAAUCAAAUGAAAUACAUUAAUUAAAUUUGAAUUGUUUUUAUUUUUGAAAUGUUUUAUUAUUAAAUGUUGGAGAUCCCACGUCGACUAGAAAUUAGAGCCUUUCAUUGUAUAUAAGUGGGGGCAAACCUCAACCCUAUGAGUCGGUUUUAUGGGUUGAGUUAGGCUUAAAGUCCAUUUCAUAUAUCAGAGUCAUUUCGAGUCUAUCCUAGCGAAUGUUUGUGUUGAGUUUAUCGUGUCACCCGCUAUCGGACCGUUAUCGGACCAUCCAUAAUAUAUAUUUCCACGCACGAGUUGGUAGUAUCAGCGUGAGGAGGGUGUGUUAGGCUUAAAGUCCAGUUCGUAAUAUUAAAUUAUUGAACAAAUUUGAAAUUAUUUUCUUCUAUUUUUUCUAACUUGCUGUUUCCUUCGUCCAAGUGAUUGCAUUCUCGUAUUCAUCAUUCCUGAAAUCGAAACGUAUGUGAAGAGUGUGACAUUAUUGUACUUAUAUAUAAGUUUUGUACGAUGUAUUAACCUACUGUUUCAUUACAAUCUGACACGUGGACCCUUCUCCACCGUUUUAACUCAAUAAAAUCCACGUGUUUACUUCUUCUUCUCUGUCACAUGCAUAAACUACAACAACAACAUGGAACAUGCUAACUACGAAUUUUUUCUUUUUUUACUCAAAUUCUGUUCACAAUUUUUACUCAAAUAAUCUAACCUUAAUUUUCAGAAAUUAACUAUUCACACAACUAUUAUUCUUCUACAAAUUAAAAUAACCAACUUAAAAGUGCUUAUAAAUAAUUCGUUUUAUGUAUUAUAGAUUAAAAUACAUAAAUUAAAGUACAAGAUUCCCACUUUCUCCUAUUUUAUCAAUUAUUAUUUUUAAUAAUUUAUCUUAUUUUUUUUAUUAUAAAAAUUUUCAUGUUAAGCAUCUUUUGUUAACUAAAGUUACAUUUUACAUAAAAGAUGAUUUUUUUCUCCUAGUAACCAUAUACAAGCAUUCCAUAUCUAUUAUUUAUUAAAAAAAUCCACAUUUAUUUUUAUAGAUAUAUUUAAUAUUUUUAGCUUCUCAUUUUUAUUUUAUCUCUAAAUUAAAUUUUAAAGAUUUUCUAAUCGUUAGAAAUGAUCUUAUAUCAAAACGUUAAUUAUAUUAUAAACCUAAAAUGUAACCAACAUAUUAAAAAAUAUCUACAGUAUAAAUUUACACAUUCUAAAAGAUUUUUUGUUUUUUUUUAAUUAUGAUGAAUUUGAAAUUUUGUUAUCUAAAAAUAUAUUCAUUCUAUACAAAUUUUGUCAUUAAAAAAAAUCUUCAAAUAUUAAUUAUAAAUUACAAAAACACACAAUCAUUCUUUCCACUUUAUCAAUUAGACUUUCUGAUAGUAUAUAUUUUCUCUGAAAUUUAUUAUAUAUCUUAUAGUUAUUUUAUUUAUCAUCUUGUUUAUUAUAUAUAUACUUGAAAAGUUGAUUUUUUCACAGUUUUACUAUAGCAGUGAGCAACGAAACAAAGGCUUUAGAAAAGGGAAAAAAACCAGCAAAGUGACUGCAUCUUUCGUCCUCUUCUACUGCUUUACCAAACCCCAUUGUUGAGUCUUUACCAUCUUUCCAAGACCAGAUCCCAAGUUGUCUUACCCUUAAAAAGUUUAUAAUAUUUUCUAGACUUAAAUAGUUCCUUAUCAUUAGCAAAGUUCUAUGAUUCUGCUACAUUAACUUUGAGUUAAAGAGCCAAAUCAUAGAGACAUUCUCAGAUCACAUAAUAAUUAUAGUGCUCAGUCCGUGAGAUUUCAUUUCACGGCUCUGACACUGAGACUGACACACUCGCACGGGAUCCCUAUUUUCUAUUCUCCUUUUUCUGAUUUUCCCCUUCAUUUAUUAGCUACCCAUUAAAGUUUUGAUCGGAAAGUUUAGUUUUUUAUAUUCUUUUUUAUUGUUUUUCGCCGUUUCAUCAGUGAUCACACAUGAUUUCCACCGUGAUCCAGCCCGCCAUAUCGAUCGGAGCCUCUGAUGUUUUGCUACGGCAAAAGGGUCCAGCUUUAACCUCUGGGCACUCAUGUUCCCUUGUUGUCCCUGCUUCCCACCCAAGGGAGAAGACUCUGAGAUCUCUGUUUUCAGUGCAAAAGCCACUUCACCUUUCAUGUGUUGGUUUGGGGAAUUUUGUUGGGUCUCCGGUGAGGCGUGAACGUGGUGAUCUGGGGACAUGUAGGGCGUAUGAGGCUGAGAGGCCAGAGGUGGAAGGGGCUGGGGAUCCAUCAGAGGCUGCUAAGAAGGUGAAAAUUGGUAUAUACUUUGCAACCUGGUGGGCUCUGAAUGUGGUGUUCAACAUCUAUAACAAGAAGGUGCUGAAUGCGUACCCCUACCCUUGGCUUACCUCAACUCUCUCCCUUGCAUGUGGGUCUCUCAUGAUGUUGAUCUCCUGGGCCACCAGGAUAGCCGAGCCUCCUAAGACUGAUCUUGAGUUCUGGAAGACUUUGUUCCCUGUAAGUUAGUGACUUUUGGUUCCAUCCUUAGAAAAAAGGUUUAUGAAAGAAUGUGAAAGCAUGUUUUUGUUUGUUCACGUGUUGUAUAUGUAACCCGGGUUUUAAAUUGUGCUCAUUGCCACGGUUUUGUUGUGAUUCUGGAUACUGUGGGAAAUUGUGAAGAAAUGUGAUUGAUAGGGCCACAUCCAUGGUUUGGUCAUAGAGUUCCUAGAAAGCUUGAUGUUUUGUGAAAUCACUUUUUAAAUAUGGAAUUUUAUUCCAUCCAUUGAUGUAUAUUGUUUGAUGAUUUCAUGAAAAAAAGAACAAAGUUAAUUCAUUUAAACUGUGUUGAAUUGGGAGGAGCUUUAUUAGUGUUUUUUUUUUCAAUGAUGAAAAAUGAUGUUUUGAAAGCGGAAAAUUCACUCUUUUUUUUAUUCAAAUGAGAACUUGCAUGGUUGGCCUUUUCUCUCUAAUUAUUAAUAUCUGGAAGUAGACAGAAGUGCUUAGUGUUUGAUGUUUUUCCUUCAGGUUGCUGUUGCACAUACAAUAGGACAUGUAGCGGCAACUGUUAGCAUGUCAAAAGUUGCAGUAUCCUUCACCCAUAUCAUAAAGAGUGGUGAACCUGCUUUCAGUGUUCUUGUUUCCAGAUUUCUUCUGGGUGAGACCUUCCCGGUGCCAGUCUAUCUGUCUUUACUUCCAAUCAUCGGUGGAUGUGCACUUGCUGCUGUUACUGAGCUCAACUUCAACAUGAUUGGUAAAGAAGCUGCUUUUCUGUUAAAAGAACGUUUUCUCAAUUACAUUCUGUUGCAUUUUUGUAUUUUGUUGUGGAGCAUAGUGUAGAAGUUGGAUAUGCUAUAAUAAAUUGACUUGCGCUUAAAUUUGACCUGUGAGAAGAUAGUUUGAUCCAAAGUAUUGGUUAAGGCAAGAACAGAGUCCCCAUCUCCCCCUACUCAAGUAAAAUGUUUAUUACUUAACUCCUGUUUGUUUAUUUAAUUAUUGUGUGUUAAUGCUUGUGUUGAGACAUCAAUGGAAAGGAUGGUUUACUGCUAUAUAGUAUACAUAGUUACCAGAUGUUAUGAUAGAAUAUAUUUCUGAUAUUUGUUUGCAAUUGAGUCUUUUCAUCCAUCUUGAUUUUGAUUUCAUAACUGCUUUAUUAUAUUUUCAGGUUUUAUGGGAGCUAUGAUAUCGAAUUUGGCAUUCGUGUUCCGUAAUAUCUUUUCAAAGAAGGGCAUGAAGGGAAAGGCUGUUAGUGGAAUGAAUUACUAUGCAUGUUUAUCUAUAUUGUCUCUUGUAAUUCUCACACCUUUUGCAAUUGCUGUGGAGGGACCACAGAUGUGGGCAGCAGGAUGGCAAACAGCACUCUCUCAAAUUGGACCUCAAUUUAUAUGGUAACUAUAAGAUGUUUACUUAUCUGAUGUUAUCAUUGCUGCGUUUUCAUAAAUGUUAUAUUUUGAAAUUGUCAUAAACUCAUAAUAUUUUUACGUCUUUAUUUAGUGUUCUUUUCAGAAAUUCGAAUUUAUUUGAUGGUAGGCUAAUUAUGAGUUAUUUUUUUUAAAACGUGUAUAUGAUAUAAUGUUUGUUUGUUUUAUGGAGUUGCUAUGUAGUUGUUGGAAAAUAGCAUUUUGUAUGAAUUUAAUGGUUAUGUACUAUCAAAAUGAAUUUUACAUCGUUGAUCAAUCAGAUAUAACUAUUGUUAUUUAUGGCUAUUAAGGUAGUAAUUGUGAAAGUAAACAAACAUAUCAUAUAUGCUGGUUUUAUAUUGGAUGAUGUGCAUAGCUUAUUCUCUCUGUUAGUGAGAGGGCUAUUUUUAGUAGAGUGAGGAGCAAAUGUUGACCUAAUAACUUUACCUUUUUGUUUACUUUGAGAAAGGAGAACAUUUACUCAGUAACCAUUUGGUCCUAAAUUGAUGGUUAAUAUCUUUUGUUUAAUUAUAAAUUUGAUGUGAUUUUUCCCUUUAUAAUUACAGAUCAAAUGGGAUUUGUGAUUAAAUACACAAUUUUAACAGUUAACUUUAAUCUAGUAGUCGUGAUUUAGAUGUUUACAUUUAUGAAAAUAAUUAAGAGUUCUCAUUUUAUACACUCCACUCACACAUAUCAUAUGCCCUUUGUGAUGUUUUAUGUGAAACCUGAUUUACGUGUUUGGGUUUUCAAGCAGAAAUUUGACUAGAGUUCUUUUAUUUUUAUUUUGAGUUAUCCAUUAUUCUUGUUCUUUCUUUCUUUCACAUGUGGUCCUUAAAAGCUUCUGUGCUUCUUCUGUCUUAUGAUUGUUUAUGGGUGUUACCUGUGCACAACAGGUGGGUGGCAGCUCAGAGUAUAUUUUAUCACCUGUAUAAUCAGGUGUCAUACAUGUCUCUGGAUCAGAUCUCUCCUUUGACAUUUAGCAUUGGAAACACCAUGAAACGUAUAUCUGUUAUAGUUUCUUCAAUUAUCAUCUUCCACACACCAGUUCAGCCGGUUAAUGCUCUUGGAGCUGCUAUUGCCAUCCUCGGAACCUUCUUGUAUUCUCAGGUAGUAUCUAGAUGAGAUUUUUGCAUAGUGAUAUUUGAUCUCAGGUUGUAAUGUCGCUGGUUGAGUGAUAAGAAGCUUGUGUUGAGAUUAUUUAUAUAAGCGUUGAAGCACCCCUGAAAUGCCUCAUUUUAUUUUAUUUAUUUAUUGAUGAUAAAAAAAAUAGUGAUAUUUAAUCUGUUGAUUAUUAUGCCCCUUGGCCAUAUCAUGUGCUUAAUGAAACAUAGACAUGCUCUCAGUGUUAUCCAUUAGUAGUUUGAGCCUUGGAGGAUCCUUUUCAAAGGUUGUACUAGGGUGGAUUUGGAGGGUAACUUCAGUCGUGUCAUAGAUUGUGUUGUUGGAGGAUGGGUGAUUAGGUGGACUAACUUCAAGGUGGAGGAACCUACAUUGUCUAGAGUGCAAACAAUUUGAUAUUGAGUACACAUGAAGGAAAAAAUUGAGAUUUAAAGUCACAAGAGGUCAAAGUUGAGUGCCAAUUUAUCUUGGUGUGUGUCUAUACUUUCCAUCUAGUGGAGAGAUUUUCUAAAUAUUAGGAAUCCAAGUAUGAGUUUGAAUUCCACAUUAAGUAUAAAUGAACAAGUUGAGCAACAUACAAGAAAAAGAACCACAAACCUAUUGUGUUAAGGUUUUGGGUUGAAGAUGGUAUCAUGAUCUCUUAUAUGUGUUUAUUCAUUCAUGCUAUUGGUUUGAAUCCAUGCAUCACUUUUUUUUCACACCAUAUUCUGAUAGGCUCAUACCCUUUUUGUAUUAUACUGGCUGACUUUGUGAUAUCUUAUGUGGUUGUUUCUUUUGAAAAUAACAAUUUUAGUUUCAAGUAUACAUACGUAAUCUCUCAUUCUACUCAUUUUUUGCAGGCAAAGCAGUAGGGUGGAGGAGUUAAGAAUAAUCCCCUGUGGUCAUACAAGGUCACUGAUAAGGAAGUCCGUUUUGGAAUGUGGUUAGCAGGAUUUUGGUAAAGUCUGGAUGAUCCAGCUGUUUUGUCUAUUUGUUUAUAAAAGUAAUAGUCAAUAAUGAUGAAACUGCUGAGGAACAUUCUCAUUAGAGAUUAUUAGGUUUUUUACUCCUUCUCUGCUUCUGAAUUAUCAUCAAGUCUGAGGAAUAAAUGUGUGUAUUUGUUUAGUCUGAGAUAAUUUCUCAAAACAUGGUAUAUUAUAAUAAGGUGAUAAUGAUAAUCUGAAAUCUGUUUCAUGCUCCUUAUGGUUCACAUAAGGUAUUCUCUUAUGUUGGCACUAAUGAACAUAACAAGUUUUUUUAAUUCUUACAAUUCUCUUGCAGUAAGAGUUAAAAAUAACGGAAAAAGGGAUACAAAUGGUUGCAGAGAUUUAAAUGAAUUGAUUUAUAAAAGCUAAAAUCAAAAGCUCAUUUGAAAAAUCACAACUAAUUCUUUCUUUUUGGUGUAUAUAUAAAAUGGACAUUUGUUGAAGCAAUAAGCAGAUAAGAGAAAAUAGAACAAAAUAGAAUAUAGAACAAAAUAGAAUAAUAACAUCGAGAAUUCGAUUAUUUUUAUUUUUAACGUGAGAAAACUUUCUUUAACUUUUAUAACCGUUUCUGGUGUGGCUGAAAUCAAGUUUCUACUGUCAGAACUUGGUGCAAAAAUGGUAGAAAUCAUUAGAUUUUGUAUCUUGAUAGCAGGUGAACAUAAUAGCAGCAAAAAUAUCAGUUUUUUUCUGUGUGUGGAUACCAAGUAUCUAUUAUUUCACACAUUCAAGUGAUUAUGUUUACAUGCACCAUGAGAAGCAGAGAGUGAAGGUAUAGAAAAAGGAACAUAGAAAUGUUAAGAAUUAGAUGAGAAAGCCAAAGCAGUGUGAUGGUAAAACAGCUACAUGCUACUCUACCAUUGAUAUGAAGGAAAAGUGAGUUCCACAAGUCACUGCAUUGGAACUUUACCGUCCAAUAACAUCCUGAAUUUGAUAUUAAUGUCACUGUGCAAAGUGUUGUUUGAGUAUGAAUAAACUGUUGAACAGUGUAGAAGAGCAGAAGGAGGAAGCAGCAAUGAGAAACUAGAUGGGCCUAAUGAGAUAAUAGAAGAGAAUUUUGGUCAAAAUGUGUUUUUCAAUGGCUGCUUGUGGAUGACAUUUAAGAGGCUAAUGAAGCCCAAGA